GUGCUUCUUCAACCUCUGGUCUUCUUGGUCCAGCCGCCAAAGCAGCGCCGGUCGUGCCGCGUGCUCCUGCCUCCCGUGGCCGGCUGUGCUGCCGCGGAGGCCUCAUCGCCCCCAUACUACUCCCACCGCUGGCCAGGCCAUCCCUCCACUCACCCACACCCCCUGUUAUUCUGCGGCGACGGCAGCCUCACACCGCAGCCGAACUAGUGAACCCUCGUACUCCUUUCCGCGCGGGCUUCCACUACCGCGUCUUCCCCGGCUCCGCGUCGUCCCCUUCCUAGGCCUCGCCGUCGUCCACCACCCUGGUGCUCUCGGCGCGGCGUGGUCAACGUGGUCAACGACCGACUUCCAUCGGAAGAGUACUGUACGUGGAGAGGCUGACAGCUGGGUCCACGGCGGCCGCAAGGAAGUGCCUCCUUAUUACGCGCAAAAUAAUUAUUCCUCCACCUGACAGCAGGGACCCACCGCGACGGGCCACCUUAUUUCGCGAAAAAAACGUUUCCCCCUGACUGCUGGGACCCACCGGACGGGCCACCGUAUUUCGCGAAAAAACGUCCCCCCCGCUGUCAGCUCAGACCCACCGGAAGUGCCUCCUUAUUACGCACAAAAAAAUGAAUACUCCCCCUGCUAGCUGGGACCCACCUUGGUGGGAGGCUGACUUGUGGGCCUACUAAGUUGACGGGGACGGAGGGCUUUGUCAACUUAGUCAAUAUGAACGAUUCUAGCUCCAGUGACCGUACGAUGUCCAUCCAACGGCCGUAGUGCUUCUUCAACCUCUGGUCUUCUUGCUCCAGCCGCCCAAAGCAGCGCCGGUCGUGCCGCUUGCUCCUGCCUCCCGUGGCCGGCUGUGCUGCCGCGGAGGCCUCACCGCCCCUACUAUUCCCACCGCUGGCCAGGCCCUGCGGCGACGGCAGCCUCACACCGCAGCCGAACGAGUGAACCCUCAUACUCCUCUCCGCGUGGGCAUCCACUGCCGCGUCUUCACCGGCUUUGCGUCGUCCCCUUCCUAGGCCUCGCCGUCGUCCACCGCCCUGGUGCUCUCAGCGCGGCGUGGUCAACGUGGUCAAGGAACGACUUCCAUCAGACGUGGACUGUACGUGGAGAGGCUGACAGCUGGGUCCACGGCGGCAGCAAGGAAGUGCCUCCUUAUUACGCGGAAAAUAAUGAUUCCUCCACCUGACAGCAGGGACCCACCGGACGGGCCACCGUAUUUCGUGAAAAAGACGUUUCCCCCCUGACUGCUGGGACCCACUAGCUCCACCUUCGCACGCAAGGAAGUGCGUCCGGGCAAAAAAAAGCGAUUCGCCCCCCUGACUGCUGGGAUCCACCAGCUACAUCUUCGCACGCAAGGAAGUGCGCCCGGGCAAAAAAAAAACCAAAACGAUUCGCCCCCUGACUGCUGGGACCCACCAGCUACAUCUUCGCAGGCAAGGAAGUGCCUGACAGUCGGGACCCACCUGGUCGAAGCGUAUGUAGCGUUGUCAUUCUGGUCGCGAACGUGUACGUACAUAUAUACUAGUCGAUGUAGAGGCGCACACGUGUCGUAGUAGAGGCGCGUACGUGUCAUAGUAGAGGCGCGCAUGUAGCAUGUACACGUACGUACAGCGGCCAGGGUGCAAGAAAGAAAAUACGGCCACGUACGUACAUACGGGCAGGGUCUCGAACGCCUACUCGCGCAUACGUACGGCGAGGGCUCGUGUACAUGGCUGGGUCGGAAUGGAGAAACAGCGUCGUCGUCGUGUUCAUGGGGAGGCAACGGAAUGCGUCGUGUUCAUGGGGAGGGGUGUGGCGUACCGCAAAACGGAGGAAAUGGACCUCCUACGGUCGAAACGGGGGUCCUGUUGAUCGAGAGGAGUGUGGCGUACCGCAAAACGGAGGAAAUGGACCUCCUACGGUCGAAAUGGGGGUCCUGUUGAUCGGGAGGGGUGUGGCGUACCGCAAAAAGGAGGAAACAGACCUCCUANNNNNNNNNNNNNNNNNNNNNNNNNNNNNNNNNNNNNNNNNNNNNNNNNNNNNNNNNNNNNNNNNNNNNNNNNNNNNNNNNNNNNNNNNNNNNNNNNNNNNNNNNNNNNNNNNNNNNNNNNNNNNNNNNNNNNNNNNNNNNNNNNNNNNNNNNNNNNNNNNNNNNNNNNNNNNNNNNNNNNNNNNNNNNNNNNNNNNNNNNNNNNNNNNNNNNNNNNNNNNNNNNNNNNNNNNNNNNNNNNNNNNNNNNNNNNNNNNNNNNNNNNNNNNNNNNNNNNNNNNNNNNNNNNNNNNNNNNNNNNNNNNNNNNNNNNNNNNNNNNNNNNNNNNNNNNNNNNNNNNNNNNNNNNNNNNNNNNNNNNNNNNNNNNNNNNNNNNNNNNNNNNNNNNNNNNNNNNNNNNNNNNNNNNNNNNNNNNNNNNCUCCUACGGUCGAAACGGGGUCCUGUUGAUCGGGAGGGGUGUGGCGUACCGCAAAACGGACGAAACGGGCCUCCUACGGUCGAAACGGGGGUCCUGUUCAUUGGGAGGGGUGUGGCGUACCGCAAAACGGGACUCCACGGGAUACUGUUCAUCUCCACCGUCGACCUCCUCCAGCCUCCACGGGCUACCGUCGACCUCCUCUAGCCUCCACGGGCUCCUGUUCAUCCAGCCUCCACCGCGCGCUACUCCACCGGCUACUGUUCAACCACCCCUCCACGGGCACCCCUCCACUGUCUACUGUUCAUCCAGCCCUCCACACCACGGGGUCCUGUUCAACCACCCCUCCACGGGCACCCCUCCACCAUCUACUGUUCAUCCAGCCCUCCACACCACGGGGUCCUGUUCAUCCAGAGGCAACACCACCGCUCACUGUUCAUCCAACCCCCCCUCCCCGCAACGCUCACUGUUCAUCCAAUCGAUCGGCUUCAGUUAGCAGCAGUAGCGAAGGAAUCGCUCGAUCGGGUUCAGUUAACAGCCAUCGAUCGAUCGCUCGGGUUCAGUAACGCGUAGCCUGCAGUGCAAUCGCUCGGGUUCAGUUAGAGCCCAAUGCCUCGCUCGAGUUCAGUUAGAGCCAACGCCUCACACACACGCGCGUACGUGUAUGAGAGAAACGUGCAUCGCUCGGCCCCUGACCUCCCACCGUAACCGGGAACUCCCCGAAAUUUCCCCCCCCCCUCGCUUCUACCACGGUUUUUUCCGUCAUGGACGGCCCAAAGAAUGUCAUGCAGCUACUUCUCCGGCCCACCCAGGACGAAAAGCCCAUUUUCUAUCAUGAUUUUUUGUCAUAGAAGUAGGAGCCCACCACAUCUAUGAUGAUACCGGGUUUUGUCACAAUUAUCGUCAUAGAAGUGUCAUAUGAUGACAGAAAAAAAAUUCGUUCGGCCCAAAAUGUCACGGAUGUGUCUUUUUUUUGUAGUGUAAGAGACUGUUUUGGCAUGUCCUUUUCCUCAAAAGGAUUGUGCUACCUUGCUGCACUUUUGCUACCGUUACCGUUACUUGUUCAUUACAAAUUAUCUUGCUAUCAAACUACUCGUUACUUAUAAUUUCAGUGCCUGCAGAGAAUACCUUGCUGAAAACUACUUGUCAUUUCCUUCUGCUCCUCAUUGGGUUCGACACUCUUACUUAUCGAAAUGACUAUGAUUGAUCCCCUAUACUUGUGGGUCAUCAAGGCUCUUUUCUGGUGUCGUUUCCGGGGAGUGAAGCACUCUUGGUAAGUGGAAAUUGGUAAGGAAAAAUUAUUACUACUUGGUGAAAUUUAUUGUUACUUGUUACUAUGGAGAUCAAUCCUUUGAGGGGUUUGUUCGGGGUAUCUUCACCUCGAUCGGAACCACAAUUAGUUGCCCCUCAACCUAUUGCACCUACUGAAAAUCUUGGUUAUGAAAUUCCUUCGGGUAUGAUAUAACAACUGCCAGCUAAUCCUUAUGGAGGAGAUGGAACCAAAUAUCCUAAUAUGCACUUGAUAUAUGUGGAUGAAAUUUGCGGAUUAUUUAAGCUUGCAGGUUUACCCGGAGAUGAAGCUAAGAAGAAGGUUUUACCCUUAUCUUUGAAGGGAAAAUCAUUGGCAUGGUAUAGGCUAUGCGAUGAUAUUAGAUCUUUGUUGGGGAAAACAGACAAGGGUAUAUAUUUUCCCCUGACUCGUGCACGGAUUGGCCAAGGCCAUGCCUAGAAGACCAAGAACUUCGAAGGACCAACAUGCAGAUCAAGAGGACCAAGACCGAGCCGGAGAAGCAAGGUACCACCAGGAGAAAAGCCUCCCUUGCCGGGCAGACAAGCUCGGCGAGGGCGGGGUCGCCCCGGAAGAAGACGUCCAAGACAUCCCGGUAGGGGAUGCCGGGGCUCGUGAAGGCAAAACCACCUCACCCAACUACUCUACCACGACCCACAUUGUCGAUCGAUGCGGUGUUAAUCCGCAAAGUGACUAAGUGGUAGCCAUUCGCCACAUGGCGGCCUUUCUCUACAGGAAAUACCCACGAACGACACCCGUCCUGCGAUGUGUCAAGCAAGCAGGUGUGAAGCUGGCAAAAUAGCCUGGCAAGCAACGACGUGACGUUAAUGGUGCAUUUAAUGCACCUUGUCAGCUUGCUGAAUUAGGUAUGAUAGCACUGUUUUCUAUCUUACCAGUGCAUAAUGACUACUUUGCCAUUGUGGUGACCCCUUAAUCUAUAAAAGGAGGCCCAUGGCAACCAUAGAAAAGGUUAGAAGGUUGGACACCCACACAUUCAUAAGCGCGUAGCCACUAUCACCCUAAGGCAACCCUGCCGGGCAAGUGUACUACGCCCCACACCAUUCUUCCACCAUCAAUCCACCAAAGCAGGAGUAGGGUUUUACGCCUCACGGCGGCCCGAACCUGGGUAAAAUUGCCCGUGUGAUCUCUGCCGUGCUGCCCCACGCUAUUCUGCUCUUUGUGCAACGUGACAUCCCCCUUGCCGAACAAGCAAGGGGCCCUUCGUCCCAUAGGUGGUCAUGGUUUCCCAUGACAUCUUUGGCGCGCCAGGUAGGGGGGUCGCUUGCACGAACCUGAAAGCGUGGGCAGCGUGCCCUAUUCGUGGUAGCCCACUCGAAGCUUUUGGCGUCUAUGGCCCCUAUAUGAAGACCAAGCGGAGCCGCCCCCGCGCCCACAUUAUUUCAUCACCACAUCCUGCCGUAGCCACGGCUACGGCGAAGACUACUUCUAGCGGUCAUGUGCCCCUCUCGGCGGCCCAUACGGCAUACCCGCUGUCUAGGCGCCGUUCGUAAAAAGGGGACAAGGCGCGCGGGCGCGAGGUCCCUCCUUUCCGUCCCUUCCCUUUGUCAGCGGUCGAGCCACUUUGACCCUGGCGUAAACAAUGUCGAUGACUACCACACGAUACUCGGUUCAGUAUUUUCCCUAUUUUGGGAAAUCUUGAGUAAAAUGCUGGUAUGAAUCCGUUGGUUGAUGCCUCGGCAAGCAUGCUCCAGCAAAGCCGUCUGCGUUGGCAUGAUCUAUGCGACGGCUGCCACCUGGCUGUCUCGAAAAGGGAAGGGGAAAGGGGGGACUAGAGGAGCCCGACACCAUACCCCCACUACCCGCCAGGUGCACAUGGCGUGUAUCGGUCUCUGCCGGGAACGAGAAAGCCACCCUUUGACUUCCACUCCUCCGGACGUCGCAAGCACGCCAAGCGCGCGUGGCCUGGCGGAGAGAAAGAAACUAAAAACAAAAAGCUAAGUAUGCGUCAUCGUUUCUUGUUGAUCCAUUUUAGAUCUUUACGGUUGUUUAUCCCUUGGCUUUAGUAAGCGUUCGUAUAGUGAAAACCCUCAUGUGAUGGAACCUUGGCUAGUUUCUUUGAUCGCACGAGCGUCCUGUCCCGAGCCAUGCUCGCAGGACGAGAGGCUGCGUCGAGAGCUGCCUAGGAAAAACCUGUCAGGACGCAUCCACGCCAAGAUGAGUGUUAAGGGCCAGACCCUUACGACAAUCGCCACAAUAUGAUACCGGCAGGCAUCCAGAACAGAUACAUGGAUUGAUCAUACGAAUGCAAACAUAUAAAGCUCAAAGGAUAAACGCAAAUUUAAGAUUGAAUAGAGAAUAUCGGUUCCACGCAAACACAAGAGAUAUAGUGCCUAAACACAAAGCAUACGUCUUGUUUUAUUACAGGAUAACACCGGAGCAACAACGACCCAUUACUUGGUCUUGUGGACGGGCGAAGAAGUUUGGACGUGGAGGACCCUGGCGGCCCAGGAAGCGUCUUUCUCCUUGGCAACUGUGACAUCGGCACCCGUUGGCGGCUUCUUGAAUCCGUCAUCGAGGUCGAGGUCCGGAUGGAGGCAGGCGAUAUUGCUCAAGACCAUGAAGAGGGCAUCGUGGGCAAGCUUCCGGGACUCGGUCGCGAGACGCUCGGCCCUCCCCUCCUCAUGCACCUUCAGCUUCUUGAUCAACUCAUUUAAGAAGACUCCUAGCUUGGCGCUUGGGACCUCGUGCUUGUUGACCAAGAAAGUUGGGCCAUCCAUACCCAUCACCACUGCUUGGGCAGCAAGACGCUCAGUGAUGUCGAUCAGGCUCUUGAUCCAGAGGUUGACCUGCUCUGACUGAUUCUUCAGUUUAUCCUCUGCAUCUUUCCGGAGACGCUUGGCAGUAUCCAGAUCCUUGGACAACAGCUGUUGGCGGGAUUCGAUGGAUUCUACCGCACUCUCCAAGGAGCCGAUCCUGGCUUUCAUGUCGGUGAUGGUGUUGUUGGCGGUCUCAAGACUCUGAGUCUUGGAGGAGAGCUGCGACUGCAUGUCAGUCAAGAGAACCUCCGCCUUCCGCGCUUCUUCUUUGAGGGCCUUCACCUCCUUGGCGCUCCCGGCAAGAUCUUCCGUCAGUUUAACCACCUGCUGGUCAAGGUCAGUCUUGGCGGCAUACGCGGCAGCCAGGUCGUCGGUGAGUUUUUUUAGUUGAGCGGCAAAAUCGGCGGCAAUGGCGUCCACGGCAGCUCCGUGCUUGUCCUCCAGCCACGUGAGUUUCUUCCGUCAGUUGACGCACAAGAGCCUCCAGAUUGUCGUCCUUGGCACGAAGAGUGGCUUCGAGCUUCUCCUCCCGGAGGGAGAUCUCUUUCUCUCUGGCAUCCAGGGAUGCCUUGCGGCCAGGCACGCCUCGCGGGCCAUGACAUCUUCCCUUGUCAUCAGGAGCGUCUCUUGCUGCCUCAUCACUGGUACGCGUCGGUGCUAUACAAACGGUUUUUAACCCCUUCCCGCGACGGCAUUUGGAACCAUCGCCUAGUGAGUGACAGCGAUAGGGAGUCCUUCCCACACGACCCAGAAACCAUCUGGGAUAUGCCCUCCUGGCACACACGCUCGGCAAAAUGAGGUCGUGUGCGACCGGCGAGCGCUCAAAUAUGGAAAUACGUACAGUAGAGCUAAAAAAUACAAUUAUACAGGCGAAAUUGUUUCCGGUCACAGGUACAUCCCACACAGUCAGUCCCCGCUAAAUGUUUCCGUUCGUAUGUACAUCCCACAUAGUCGCUCCAAGGAAAACGUUUCCGUUCACAGGUACAUCACACACAAUUUUCCCCGUUAAAUCGUUUGUGAUAGUGUUGCCAUUGCACACGAUAUUAACAAUUUUAUGGUUUGCGUUAUUGAAUGCAUCGCACACGGUGCAUAGAAGAAACUGUGUGGCAAAGGCUGUCCAUCACACAUAGUUUUUAUGUGGUAAACGUUUGCGCAAGGUGGCCUAACGCAAACAGUUUUCAAGAGAAGUUCGUGUGUGAUUGUUCAUUGAUCUAGCACGGUUUAUUCCUAGAAACUGUGUGCGUUGCCUGAGGUCAUCACCCACGUAUUUUCUCAAUAACCAUUUGCAAUAGCAAAACCCAAUUAGCAGGCUAAUUCGCCAUUAGCAGGCUAAUUGCCAUAUUAUUAAUAAUCCAUUUAUUAAUCUAAUUGACAUUCAUAUUAAGCACAUAAUAUAUUUCAUUUCCAUAUUAAGGAAGCAGGAUUUCAUAAUUGAAAUACAUCAGAGUACAACAUGAUAUAGCUUCAGCACUCAGCUACCCCAUUACACAACUGCACCAGCACCAACUUUCACAUGCAACAUGUAGAACCUUUCGAAAUUAGCAUCAUAGAUGGUAUAUAGACAGAUGCAUCUCAUCUGGAAAACUGCUGAAGCGAAAGGCGAAUAUUGAGCCUUCAUUCAUGUUGAAGGUCUUUGCAACUUUAGGCCAGUGCCUGUGGAUGAUUGACCGUCCGUCCUUCGUCCUCUUUAGGAACACUUCAAUAUUGAACCAUGGGUGUUGUAUGAAAACCUUCCUCGCCUCCAGACCAUAGAGGUGGUUUGUGGGGUAAUCAUCAGUGAACUGCUUUGGAAAGGCCUGAAAACAAGGAGGUGCAUAAAUAUCUUCUCCAUAUUGGAAAUGGGGCAAAGGAAUAAAAAAAGGCAAGGUGUAAUAGUUAGUACCAUCUUGUAGUGAACUGAUGUCUUCUUCAUUGUGCAGACAAAGAUCUUGUUGUUUUUGUCGCUAAUUUCUUUAUCCUAACAAUCUUUCUGAGUUUCUUGACUUGAUUGAUAUUCAUGGACAACUCAUUUCCCCAUAUGCAAAAAGGGUCGAACAGUGGGUCAAAACCUCUGACAGCAGGACCUACAUGUGCAAGACCAAAUUGUUAAAAACCUAAAUAUUAGAAUGGUUCCUGCAAUUGCACAAUAAUGUGCUAUUAGACAAUGGACCAUGCACGUGCAGUUAACUAAACAUCACAACAAAUGAACCAAACAUUAACCGAGCACCACAUUGCACAAUAUAACAUACUCCUAAUAGAAGAUUAGACAAUUAAACAAACCAAGCAUGCUUAACAACUUGGAAAUAUAGCAAUUGUAUUUGUUUCUCAUGUAUUUAGUACAACCAAAUUCGAUUUAUUUCUCACAUGGUAUACAAUAACAGAAUGCACCCACAACAAUUGAACAUCGCAUUGCAGAAUUGAACCAAGUAGUUAACUAAACACCACAACAAAUGAACCAAACGUUAACUGAGCACCACAUUGCACAAUAUAACAUACUCCUAAUAGAAGAUCAAAGAGUUACACAAACCAAGCAUGCUUAACAACUUGGAAAUAUAGCAAUUGUAUUUGUUUCUCAUGCAUUUACUACAGCCAAAUUCGAUUUAUUUCUCACAUGGUAUACAAUAACAGAAUGCACCCACAACAAUUGAACAACACAUUGCAGAAUUGAACCAAACAGUUAACUAAACACCACAACAAAUGAACCAAACGUUAACUGAGCACCACAUUGCACAAUAUAACAUACUCCUAAUAGAAGAUUAGAUAGUUAACCAAACCAAGCAUGCUUGACAACUUGGAAAAUUGCACCCUGAAGAAUUGAACAUCACAUUUGCAGAAUUGAACCAAACAGUUAACUGAACACCACAUUGCACGACAUAUAGAACAUAUACACUAGACCAGAAGAUUGCAUGGUAAAAUUAAAUAGCACAAUUCACUAGAAUUUGUUAAGGAAAGGCAGUAGCUAGCAAACUGAACAUGGGUCCUUAUAGUGAGCUAAUAAGACAAGCUACUCCUCAUUGUCGGAGAUAUCGAUGACGAUUGGCUCCUUGGACAUGGAAGAGGGCGAGCCUUCGCAUCGUGGGUGCCCUCGUCGUAGUGGUGAGUUGCCUGAGCCGCUCCGGACACCAACCUGCUGGCUCUCGAGAUGAGGUAAGCACAUGCACGCUGAGAAAACACCUCGUAGUCUUCAUCGAAGGCACCGACGGUGGCCUCGAGAAAACGCCAUGAACUGUCGUUUAAAGCAGCCAACCGCGUUGCGGCGUCGGCGCGCGAGGCCUCGACGGUGGCCUCGACAGUGAGGUGCUCCUCCAAGAUCUGGGGGUCGGCACGAAUGACAGCCAUCACGACCUCAUCCACGCGUGCGGCCGUGAUUUGCUUCUCCACUGCCAAAUGCUCCAUGAGAUCCUGGCUAUACUGCGUGCACCAUGGCUUAGGGCAGCGCUUAUUUGGUGGAGGGGUCGGUGAUUUGGGUGGAAGGUGUCACGCUCGCACCGGCGGUCGGGGCAUGCGGGAUGUGGAAGGAGGAGGAGGAUAGGGGUCGGGUCUGGAUUACCUGCAUGGAUAGGCGAGGCCGAGCAGCGUGAUGGAGGGUCGCCGACGAGGAGGCGGCGCUGCAAGCAAUGAGUGAAGGUUUGAACUUGGAAAGGAAGGCAAAAUCAGGGGAAAUGUGGCUUUUGGUAAGGGGGAGGGGGCGGGGAGGUAGAUCUUUCCAUGGAAGCCGGAAAUUUGGAAUCGCUUCAGCAAAAAAACUGGCGCGCAAAGUGUCAUCAGACAUGGUCCCUUAUUCAGAGCGGGCUGUGGACUGUAGCCGUCGCACCUUUUCGCGUAAGCCGUAUGCGUACUAUAAUCCGACGGUGCUCCAAGAUAUUUUGUGCUGCAUCUCACACGAUUGGUGAUAAUAAACUAUGUGGGAUCUACUUGAUUUUUCGUCUUGAUUUGAAUUAAAUAAUGGGGUCACAGCAGCAAUGGACGGUGUUUGAAUUGCUAGACCUUUUAUCUGCCGUGAACAUGCAACUAUAUGUGUGUCGUAAAAAAAUUGGAAUUAUUCAGGGUUUGUUUGGAAAUUUUAUACAUUAAAUUGGUUUUCUAGCCAUUUCAGGUGCACAAUUCAAAAUUAAAGCACGUGCACAUGCUCCGGUGCACCAACAUGGGUUGUAAAUUCAUAUAUGUGUCCAUGGGUUUAUGCUUAUGUCCCAUGCAAGAAAUGGGGAUGAAUUUCGAACGCCACGACACCGUGGCUCUCUGACAAAUGUUGAGGUACUUGCUUUUGUAAUUCUAGUAAAUCCAAAACCCAUCUGAAAUUCAUGAACCUUGGCAUGCUAUCAUGGAAUGGCAUCAACAUGCUGGGGUGAAAAAUAUUGUCCCAUUUGGGGCAGGUUACGGUAUAAGCUUCUGACAAACCAGAGCUUCUCACAAGAAAGCCUCAUGGUUCCGUUAGGGAAACGUGUCACCUUUGUGGACAAAACGAUAUUCGUCGCCUCUUCUUCCUUUCAUUUUUUUCCUGGUGUCAACAUAGAACAACAGGAGUGUCGUGUUAAAUUUUGGAUUUUUUCGGGGAUCGUUUGGACAUUUUUAUAUGUUAAUUGAGUUUUCCAGGCAUUUAUGUGGAUAAUUCAAAAUUGAACUACAUGCACAUGCUCCGUCCAUAAAAACGGGUUGCAAAAUCAAAUGUUUGUCCUUGGUUGCAAGAUUAGGUCACAUGCAAGAAAUGAGAACGAAUGUCAAACACCUUGACACUAUCGCUCGGCCGCUAACAUUGAGAUACAUGGUUUUAAAAUUCUAGUAAAUCGAAAAGUCGUCUGAAAUUCAUGAAACUUGACAUGAUAUGAUGGAAUGGCAGCGACAUGCCGUGGUAAAAAUAUCGUCCCAUUUGGGGCAGGUGUGGGUAUAAGGUUCCCGCAAACCAGAGCUUCUCUCACAACAAGCCUGAUGGUUUCAGUAGGGUACGUGCCACCUUGGGGGACGAAACGACAUUUUUUUCCUCUUCUUACUUUCAAAAUGUUUCUCGUGUCAACAUAGAACAACACGAAUGUUGUGUCAAUUUUUGGGAUUUUUCGGGGUUCACUUGGACAUUUUUAUACAUUAACUGAGUUUUCUAUGCAUUCAUGUGCAUAAUUCAAAUUUGAACUACAGGCACAUGCUCUAAUGCAUAUAAAUUAGUUGAAAAUUCAAAUUUGUGCCCUUGGUUGCAUGCUUAGGUCCCAUGCAAGAAAUGGGAAUGAAUGUCAAACACCCUGCCACCGUCACUCGGCCGCAAACAUUGAGAUACCCGGUUUUUAAAUUCUAGUAAAUCCAAAGCUCCUCUGAAAUUCAUGAAACUUGGCAUGCUAUCAUGGAGCGGCAUCAACAUGCCGUGGUAAUUUUUUUUGUCCCAUUUGGGGCAGGUUUGUGGAUAUGCUUCUCACAAACCAGAGCUUCUCACAACAAGCCUGAUGGUUUCGGUAGGGAAAGUCCCACCUUCGGGGACGAAAUGAUAUCCAUUGCCUCUUAUUGCUUUCAAAAUUUUUCUCGUGUCAACAUAGAACAACAGGAGUGUUGUGUCAGUUUUUGGGAUUUUUCGGGGUUCGUUUGGAAAUUUUUAUGCAUUAAUUGAGUUUUCAAUGCAUUUAUGUUCAUAAUUCAAAUUUGAACUACAUGCACAUGCUCUAAUGAAUAUACAUUGGUUGAAUAUUCAAAUAUGUGUCCUUGGUUGCAUGCUUAGGUCCCAUGCAAGAAAUGGGAAUGAAUGUCAAACACCCUUCCACGGUCACUCGCUGCAAACAUUGAGAUAGCUGGUUUUUAAAUUCUAGUAAAUCCAAAAGUCGUCUGAAAUUCAUGAAACUUGCUAUGCUAUCAUGGAGCGGCAUCAACAUGCCGUGGUAAAAUUUUUGUCCCAUUUGGGGCAGGUAUGGGUAUAAGUUUCUCACAAACCAGAGCUUCUCACAACAAGCCUGAUGGUUUCCGUAGGGAACGUCCCACCUUUGGGGACGAAACGAUAUCCGCUACCUCUUAUUGCUUUCAAAAAAAUUCUAGUGUCAACAUAGAACAACAGGAGUGUUGUGUUAAAAUUUGGAAUUUUUCAGGGUUCGUUUGGACAUUUUUAUACAUUAACUGGGUUUUCUAGGCAUUUUAUGUGCAUAAUUCAAAUUUGAACUACAUGCACAUGCUCUAGUGCAUAUAAAUUGGUUGAAAAAUCAAAUCUGUGUCCUUGGGUGCAUGCUUAGGUCCCAUGCAAGAAAUGGGAAUGAAUUUCAAACACCAGGGCACCGUUGAUUGCCGGCAAAAUGUUGAGAUACUUUACUUUUAAAUUCUAGUAAAUCGAAAACUCGUCUAAAAUUCAUGAAACUUGGCAUGCUAUCAUGGAAUGGAACCAGACAUGCUCUGGUAUUUUUCGUCUCCAUUUUAGAGAAGGCGCACUCGAAUAACAGCCAACAAAGGCAUUUUGAAAAAAUAGCUGCCACUUUAAUAUCUCAAACAUUUGUAUAAUUCAAAUCGUGUGCGUUCUGUUAACCAUUCACGUGAUGCCACAUGUCUUCGUUUUAAUGGCUAUAGGAGGUGCCGUGCGGACAGCUGCUUGACUGAACGGGAGGCAUGUGAGUGGAGUCCGGUGUGCAGGCUGACCGAGAGGCAUGCAAGCUGUCCUCCAAUGCGCAGGCUCACCGGGAAGCGUGCGAGUUGUCCGCUGCACAGGCUCACUGGGAAGCGAGCCCUUUGACUUCCAUGGCCGCCCGCCUUCCUCUCCAUUAAUGGCGCCCGAGCCGCUGUUUAAUACGGGCGGCCUUACUGUUCGCCUCCCAUUCCCCUCCCUCCCGCAGACCUCCACCAACGCCAUGGCACAGAAUGAUCAUCUACCACUAGUCUUCAAGUUUGGUGAAGUCGACUCCGAGCUGGAGGAGAUAGAAAAUAAGGAGGAGUGGGGCCUCAUGGACAUGGCCCAGAACGAGCUGGCCAUGGCGGUUGCUGCCCCCGCUCCCGUCCCAGCUCCCAUCCCCGCGCCCGCGCCAGCAACCAUCCCUGUAGCAUUGACGGGCUGGUCGUCAAGCACUAUCAUAGAGCUGGGAUCCGCGGGCGUCAGCGAGAUCUCCGCAGACCCGCCGAAGCUCGUGUACAUGCCAGUGCCAGCGCCCGUGCCUGUGCCCGUGCAUGCCCCUCCACCCACCGUGGCGCCGGCCCCCGUGCGUUUGGCUGCACCCGCCGCGCCCGUGCCCGUGCGCGCCCCUGCACCCACCGCGGCGCCGGUCCCCGUGCGUUUGGUUGCACCCGCCACACCCGUGCCCGUGCGUGCGCCCCCCUCAGUGGCAUGGGAGGCUGCCGUCGACCGCUACCUCUCAGCGGUGCCAGUUGACGUCCUCCCACGCCCCGCCCGUCGAUCGCGUGACGACAUGAUGUUUGAUUUACAAGUGAAGAACAUUUUGUGCCGCCUUGAAGACUUCAACAACGACGUCCCAGAGGACGACAACGACAACGACGGCGCGGCACGCCACCUCCUCCGCCGCCGGAAAUAGUUUUUUUGGGGUUUAAUACUGUAUCUCGAAUUCUAGAUCAUAUGAAUAUAAAUUCGCAAUGUGACUGAAUGAAAGAUAUGGUUUGAAGGAACUUGCGUUUUUCUCUCUUAAUGUACAGACUUAUCAAAUGAUUUUCUUUUGAAAAUAACGUCAAUGGUUUUUAAAUAUAAAACACUCAUCGCAAACGUUUUUGUUAGAACACCCGUAUGCAAACUGACAUCUUCCCCAGGAAGCCAAGGGAAAAUGUGCCGAGCAGGAUUUGUGCAGCUCUUGAUCGCAAACAUUUUAAAUAGAACACCCGUAUGCAAAGUGAGAGCUAUGGUCUUCCCCCAUAAGUCAAGGGAAAAUUCACAGUGCAGGAUUUGUGCAUCCCUUCAAUGCAAACGGUUGUUUUGGAUGACCCGUGUGCAACCACGUAGAAAUAAUUGGGUAAGAUUUGCAUCUGUCAUAUUGGGUAUGUUGCCAUUUGUCAAACUGGAAAGAUUGACAUUUGUUUAUCUAGUAACAUUGCCAUUUGUCAACCUUGUAACACUGCGAUUUGUCAAAAUAUGCAGCUACAAAUCACUAGCGCUAUCUAAUUUUUGCAACUAAAAUCAUUAGCACUGUUCAUAUGGACACCACUAGCAGGCGUGAGUUGAUGGACGCAUAUGCAAAUGUACCAUUGAUUACAUACAACAAGUCAUCAACCCACAAUGACAAUGAGGAUACAUGUUGGAUUAUAGAUCAUUUCAAACAAAACAUUCUAGUACAGUAAAGUUUUUCUCACACAACAAAUAACAAAGCGAUGAAAUGAACUUCAGCUCAACCACUCAUCGGCGUUGGAAACGCUUGCUUUGAACCAGAAGUGAUUCUCUGGGAAGGGCCAGCUACUGUCAAUCUCGAGACCAACGCAGGACUGAUCAUCCAGGCUGAAGCGGCCUAUUUCAAUACCCAUAUUGUGAUAGCCACGGUAGGGAAGCAUAGCAAUGUCUGAGGUAUAGAUACAGUUGCUUCUCAUAAAUGGUAGUAACGUUGUGUCAACAGCAGCUGGAUCGCCUUUCACCAUCAUUGGAUAGUUUUGUCCAAGGAAGAGCGAGUUUUCUCCAAGACUAUCAAUACUGAACCAGGGAGAAGGUGUUGGCGCUAGCACACUAGUAUCCAUCCUGAAUACCCUGCAACAGAUGUUGGAAUAGGUCCAGAGAGUGCAACCAUGCGAGACAACACCUGCUUCCUUAGUAACAUCAGCAGUGCCCUGUAUACAGACAAGAAGAGGUGAUCCAUCGGAAUAAGUUGCUAGGCGCCACUGAUUAUAUGGGUCCUGCUCGUCCUCAUGCUCGUGAUCAUCACCAUCAUCAUCUCCCCCUUAGUUAUAAUUUUUUUGAAGUAUAGGUGGUGGAAUGUUCACAGGACCUUGGAAACACAAGAAGGUUAAUUAGUAAAGGGAAACUAGCUAACUAACCCACAUGCAUGUGGAUGAAACAAUUAUAAUUACACUGGAAGACAAACGUACCGAAACCAUAGGGAUUCCAUGCAAAAAUAGUGCCACGAGUGGUGGCAGCAAACACAAGACCCUCGUAUUGAAUUGCAUCACAGUACUCAUCCGUGUACAAAAAUUGAUUUUUGAGCAAUAUCCAUCGAGGCGUGGAAGUAAGGACGACAACAAGCUUGUCAAAGAUAGCAACAACUACAUAGUUCGUGUAAUCCCAAGAGUGGUUGGGAACUCGACAAAUUGCUAUCUUCCGUAGACGAUAGUCACCAUGAUCGUAUUUGAACGUACGUAGAAUACCGGUGUGCUCAACUUCAGGGCAGUCCGAGAUUUUUGGAAGUGGAACCUGGUGACGAGUGUACACAUUCACAAGUUCCCACUCGUAGUUGUACCCAAUAUAAACAACCCAAUCUCCAUUUGCGCCUGCCCAAGCCUUAUGCUCAAGCAAUGGCAUCUUAACAUCACACCUAUCAUUAUCAAGCGGCAUCAACUUGCACAAGGCGAGGCUUCCGUCAUCCCUGCGCCAGUGAUCAGGGUCACGGCGAAGAAGAUAGGGGAGAUCAAACCGCUCCUGGACCCUUGGGUUGCUUGUAAUGAUGUUAUUAGUUGAGUCGAGAAUGGUCUUGAACGAACCUGCCAUGCUAGCCGAGGUGAUGACGUCGCACCGAUCAAUGAGUUCCUCCACCACGUCAUCUUUCAGAUCGGGGCAAGAAUAACGGGGUCGUUUCCGGCCUAUUCCCUCCAUGGAGAAGACGAUCGAACAAUGGCAGAAGGAAGGGUGAAGGCAAAUGGAGGGAGGAAGAGCGUCCGACAACAGUUCCAAAUCGAGAGGGAAAGGCGAAGAGGCGGUGGACGGUUGCCACGGUACAAGAAGAGGCUAGUGGGGAGCGAACGGUUGCCACAGAGGUCACACACUGAUGACAAGGCCGAGUGAACCGCAUGCCGUAUAUCGCCCACACCUUGAUCUGGCUGACCGUUUCUUUUGUGUUGCCUAAUCACAAACAGUUCAUCCGAUUGAACCGUAUGAUGUAUAUCGCACACACCUUCAUUUGGCUGCCCGUUUCUUUUGUUCCUCCUCAUCGCAAACAGUUAAUUGAACUGAACCGUAUGCCCUGCAUCGCACACGCAACUAAAUCCGAACCGUGUUUGAUGCAUCCAUCGUCACAAACAUUUUGCACCUUUUUGACGGUUUUUUACACCACCGUUUGCGAUUAUUGCAUCGCACACAGUUUCAUCGAAGGGUCUCUGAUAGUAGUGUCGCGUUAGCAGCAUCCUGCAGUAGUGCAUGAACACCUUGAACUGCUUAUCAUGCCACUCACGCAGCUCCAAACAUUUGUCCUUCAGCUUCUGGUCCACCCUACUGGCAGACUCGCGCCGCUCCUUGAGCGCCUACCACUUCUGAUUGUGUUGGGCCUGGAUCUCCUUCACACCCGUCGCCAUGGACUCCAAGAAGGACAAGUCCAUUGUGACGACGGCUGAAUCAUCGGCUUCUCCAGCUCCCUGGUAUAGUGGUGCCAGGAGGCAUUGAAGCUCUUCAUCGAGCUCCACGCCCGUCGUUAGAGACAGGCCGGGGGCUCCAGUUCCAGGCGGCGACAACACCAUGGCUAGCGUGUUUGAGGAGGGUGGCGGAGUCUCCGCAACGGUUACAGAGGAGGAAAGUGGGUUAUGGUUUGGAGGGGAACUUUCACCUCAACCACCACCUCCUCUUCCGGGGCAUCCUCUGAAGAAUGCUCCACCACCGCCAAGGAAUCCUGGACAUUCACGGCAGCAAGGUCAUGUCCCUGUGCAGCAGCAAUCUCAACGGCCUCUUCUGUGGCAGCCCUUCCUAUGUCAGCCACCACCUCCAGUAGUUCUGGCUCUUCGGCUUGGGGGUCUGCGGAUGAGAAGACCGGGAACAACGAAGAGACAAGAGUUUCAGGUAAUGGGGAAAUCAGGAGGAGUGAUCAGGGCGAGAAAGGAAAAAGGGCAUAAGUGGAGUACCUGGAGAAGUCUACCGGGCAGGGACCUCAGUUUCCCCGACAGCGUCUGUUGCCGGCCAUGUACUUCACCCCCUGCCGCGGCGGCCGCGGCGGCUCUCUGGGCGGUUUCAUCCACGGAGGCUCUAUCGGGGAUUCUUUGGCUCAGUCGGCGGAGGAGAUAUGCCCCUCCGGAAGGGGCUCACCCUGCAUCGUCUCGCCGCCACCUCCCGGAGAAAGGACCGAGCCCCCACUUCUGGGCCGAGGGCUGGACUGGGGGCUCAACACGGGCUCCACCGCGUCGCUCCCCACCAAGACCGGGCUCUCCGCGGUCCUCGGCGACCCAACACACCGAAGCCUCUUCCGGGGAUGGUGGACAAGGGUUUCCAUGUCCUCCUCCACUUCCCUGUCGGCAACAGCAGAACAAGAGGUUAGUCAGCAAGGGUAAUCAAGUACAUCGGAGCUAUUUACGAAAGGAAAAAUCUUCCUUUUCUUUAAUAAGCAUGGAGUUCAAGUUGAACUCCAUGGGAGGCGAAGGCUCCCUUCCUCUCUUCGGAGGUGGAGGGGCAGAACUCCCCGACAGCAUCGGUGUCUGGCGUGGCGCCGGGGGCUCCAGAGGAGGCAAGCUCUGUGAAGAACUUGAGCCAGAGCGGGGGCUGGAAUCAACUUCCACAUCCGCUGGUUACUCAGCAGGGGAAGUCUUGAUCCGAGCAAGGCGAGGGGAUUGGCGGCACACCACAUCAACCUUGGUGACCUUGGUGGUAGUCUUCUUUACCUUCUUGGCGACUGGCGCUGAAUUGGGGGCCGCCACUCCCCGGUUAGCGGCGCGCCUACGAGGGCGCUGAUCCAAAACCAGCUUGUGGGCUUGAUAUCCAGCCGCGAGCCACUCCUCCUCGAGCUCUGCUGCCUCGCCCAUCUCCUCCUCCUUCUGAAGCUUUGUUGCUGCUGUGGCCAAAGCAUCAAGCCCGGCAAGGUUGUCCCCGGCAGAAAUAUCCCUGGCAGGCUCUUCCCCGGCAACCCCUUCUGUGGUUUGCACCUUGCUGCCGCCAUGAGAAGAACUCUCAUCCUCAGCUUUCCCCUUUCCCUUCCCGGCCUUCGCGGCCCUUGCCAUCUCUGCAAGACGGGCAACCUUGUCCUCCUCGACCCUCCUUAAGAUAUAUGCCACCUCUACAUAGGAGGUGCGUUUGUACAUCCCAGUCUCAACCCUGGUAGCCUUCUCCACCAGGGUGCCCGACCACUGAAGCUCUUCAUCAAGGGUGGGCAAUCGCCAAUCGCCUUCCACCCCUUGAGCGUUGCAAUCCGGCAUCCAUUUCAGUAUCUGAUCCCGGGCUGAAUUGAUGUUCAGAGGGAUAACAUUUGCCGGGAGCUUGAACAGCUCGAAGCGGCCAAACAAUUGGGCACACAACCAGGCGUGGCUAUAAACUGACAAGUUGUUGGCUAACCCUGGGAGCAACCUCAUCCUGUCAGCAGCAUCGCCAUAUAACCAGGCGGGUCUGUCCCUCUCCUCCAACGGCGAAAUGCGACGGAGAAGAAAAUCUGCCCCCACAUGCUGAAUGGUUAGCCCGACAGCCUUCAAAUGGGUAAUCUUGUUGAUUGUCGGGCGCAACCUAUCUUCAGUGAGGCCAUGAGCGCUCCAUUCCUUGCCGCGCUCCACACAUUCCAUCCGUGCUUCACAAAAAUCAGGGGCUUCCUCAUCCUGAAUCCAACACCAAUCCCCUCUCCACUCAUCCCACCUCUCGCGCUGCUUCCCAGGGAUAUAAUCCCAGAGCUUCCUCGCCACCCGCGGCAUCCAGCAAAUGUUCCCGGACGCGGUGACCCUUGUUCUCCACCCAUAGAACAAAGUAAUGCCGGAACAGAUCUACAUUGGGGGUUACCCCGACGAAAUUCUCGCACAAGUGUGCAAAAAUGGCCAUGGUCGCCAUUGCAUUCGGCGUGAAGUCAAGGAGGUGGAAUCCAUAGAUGGUCAUGAUCACCUCAAAGAAUUCGGAGAAGGGGGGCCACAGGCCGCAGAUAAAGUAAGCAUAGAGAAACCGAUACGAGUCUGGUGGAUCUUCCUUCCCCUCCGCCAAAACAUUGGGCGCUCCAUGCCGUUUCGGAACAGGCCUCCCCCACAGGUACCCAUACCUCACUUGAAGAAGUGGGCCGCUCAGGUUCGACGGAAGGAAGGCGACGUCUCCCUUCCAUUUCUUGUUCAGCUCUGCUGCCCUCUUGCUCCCCUCAGCGGCUACUUCCUUUGCCGCAGCCUUCUGCGUUCCUUUCUCUAUGGGUUUCUUCCCCAUUUCCGCGGCGGUGAUGUGGAUGGAGAAAGGGUCGAUGGGAAGGGCGGCGGCGGACAGGAGAUUGGGAGGGGGAACCAUCGUCUGGCUUGCGGAGGAAGAUGAUGGGAGAGCGAGGCAAGCGACAGGUGAACCGUGCUGCUCCGCUUUUCCCUAUUUUUAAGGGGGGAGUGCGGAACAGAGGCCCGACGCUUCAGAAAGUUAUCGUUUUAUCUUAAGUGCAACAGUCCCACAACCCCACGACGCGCAGUAAUUGCGCGAGUGGACGUUGGAUUGAAUGGUCGCCAUGGCAAACCGGCAUGCGCAGCCCUCUCCUACCACGUGUCCGUGCACUGUUUGGGGCCUAACCCAACGUGCCGCACCAACACGUGUGGCUCAGGCCCGGGGGCUUAUGUCGGGGAAAACAGACAGGGGUAUAUAUUUUCCCCUGACUCGUGCAUGGACAGGCCAAGGCCAUGCCAGAGUACAGAAGACCAAGAUCUUUGAAGGACCAACAUGCAGAUCAAGAGGACCAAGACCGAGCCGGAGAAGCAACGUACUGCCAGGAGAAAAGCCUCCCUUGCCGGGCAGACGAGCUCGGCGAGGGCGGGGUCGCCCCGGAAGAAGACGUCCAAGACGUCCCGGCAGGGCCUGCCGGGACUCGUGGAGGAAAAACCACCUCAGCCAACUACUCUACCAUGACCCCACAUCAUCGAUCGAUGCAGUGUCAAGCUGCAAACUGACUAAGUGGCAGCCAUUCGCCACAUGGCGGCCUUUCUCUACGGGAAAUACCCACGAACGGCACCCGUCCUGCGAUGUGUCAAGCAAGCAGGUGUGAACCUGGCAAAACAGCCCAGCAAGGCUUGUCGGGCAAGCAAUGACGUGACGUUAAGUGGUGCAUUUAAUGCACCUUGUCAGCCUGCAGAGUUAGGUAUGAUAGCACUGUUUGCUAUCUUAUCAGUGCAUAAUAACUACUUUGCCAUUGUGGUGACCCCUUAAUCUAUAAAAGGAGGCCCAUGGCAACCAUAGAAAAAGUUAGAAGGUUGGGCACCCACACAUUCAUACGCGUGUAGCCACUAUCGCCUUGAUGCAACCCUGCCGGGCAAGUGUACUAUGCCCCACACCAUUCUUCCACCAUCAAUCCACCAAAGCAGGAGUAGGGUUUUACGCCUCACGGCGGCCGAACUUGGGUAAAAGUGCCCGUGUGAUCUCUGCCGUGCCGCCCCACGCUCUUCUGCUCUUUGUGCAACGUGACAUCCCCCCUGCCGAACCAGCAAGGGGCCCUUGGUCCCAUAGGUGGCCGUGGUUUCCCACGACAAUCUUGGAAUUGGAAUCGCUUGAAAUUGGAAUUUCACCAAAAAAAUUAUCAUAUGCAUCUAGUUCAUCGUGAUCGGAAUUAUAUAUAUAAUUUUUGGCCUCGUGAAGGAGAAAGUAUCGCUCUAGCUUGGGGGAGGCUUAAGUCAAUGUUAUAUUCAUGCCCCAAUCAUGAGCUCUCAAGAGAAAUUAUUAUUCAGAAUUUUUAUGCUCGGCUUUCUCGUGAUGAUCAAUCCAUGCUCGAUACUUCUUGUACCGGUUGUUUUACGAAGAAGACUAUUGAAUUCAGGUGGGAUCUUUUAGAAAGAAUUAAACGCAACUCUGAAGAUUGGGAACUCAAUGAAGUUAAAGAGUCAGGUAUUAAGCUUAAGUUUGAUUGUGUUAAAUCUUUUAUGAAUACCGAUGCUUUUCAAAAGUUUAGCACUAAAUAUGGACUUGACUCUGAGAUAGUAGCCUCCUUUUGUGAAUCAUUUGCUACUCAUGUUGAUCUCCCUAAGGAUAAGUGGUUUAAAUAUCACCCACCUAUUAAAGAAGAAAUUAAAGAACCAGUUGUGGUUAAAGAUGAAACUAUCAUUUAUAAUGUUGACCCAGUUGUUCCUACUGCCUACAUCGAGAAACCACCUUUCCCUGUUAGGAUAAAGGAACAUGCUAAGGUCUCAACUGUGGUCAAUAAAAGCUAUAUUAGAGCACCCAAACCUGCUGAACAAAUCAAGGUAGAACCUAGUGUUGCUAUGGUUAAAGAUCUCUUGGUAGAAAAUAUAGAUGGGCAUGUUAUUUACUUUUGUGAUGAAGCUGCUAGAAUUGCUAAACCAGAUGAAAAGGAUAAACAUAGACCUGUGGUUGGCAUGCAUGUUGUCUCGGUCAAAAUAGGAGAUCACUGUUAUCAUGGUUUAUGUGACUUAGGUGCUAGCGUGAGUGCUAUUCCCUUUGCCUUAUAUCAAGAAAUUAUGAAUGAUAUAGCACCCGCCGAAAUAGAAGAAAUAGAUGUUACUAUUAAACUUGCUAAUAGAGACACCAUCACACCACUUGGGAUUGAUAGAGAUGUUGAAGUCUUGUGUGGGAAAAUAAAAUACCCUACUGAUUUUCUUGUUCUUGGUUCCCCACAAGAUGACUUUUGUCCCAUUAUCUUUGGUAGACCUUUCUUAAACACCAUUAAUGCUAAAAUAGAUUGUGAGAAACAAACCGCCUGUGUUAGUUUUGGUGAUGAGUCUCAUGAGUUUAAUUUUUCUAAGUUUAGUAGAAAACAUCAUAAGAAAGAAUUGCCUAGUAAGGAUGAAAUAAUUGGUCUUGCUUCUAUUGUCGUACCUCCUACUGAUCCACUAGAACAAUAUUUGCUUGACCAUGAAAAUGAUAUGCAUAUGCAUGAAAGAAAUGAGAUAGAUAAAAUUUGCGUUGAACAACGACCUCUGCUUAAACACAAUUUGCCUAUUGAAACUCUAGGAGGACCUCCUCCACCUAAAGGUGAUCCUGUGUUUGAAUUAAAACAAUUGCCGGACACUUUGAAAUAUGCUUAUCUUGAUGAGAAAAAGAUAUAUCAUGUUAUUAUUAGUGCUAACCUUUCAGAACAUGAAGAAGAAAGAUUAUUGAAAAUUCUGAAGAAGCACCGAGCUGCUAUUGGAUAUACUCUUGAUGAUCUUAAGGGCAUUAGUCCCACUCUAUGUUAGCGCGACAUUAAUAUGGAACCUGAUGCUAAACCCGUUGUCGAUCAGCAACGACGUUUAAAUCCUAAAAUGAAAGAAGUGGUAAGAACUGAAAUACUAAAGCUUCUGGAAGCAGGUAUAAUCUAUCCCAUAGCUGAUAGUAGAUGGGUAAGUCCCAUUCAUUGUGUCCCUAAGAAGGAAGGUAUUACUGUUGUUCCUAAUGAUAAAAAUGAACUUAUCCCACAAAGAAUUGUCACUGGUUAUAGAAUGGUAAUUGAUUUUAGAAAAUUAAACAAAGCAACUAGAAAAUAUCAUUGCCCUCUGCCUUUUAUUGAUCAAAUGUUGUAACAUCCCAAAAUUUCAAUUUGGAAUGUUAUACAUAGGUCAUCAUCUGCAUAUCAUAUUUUAUUUGCAUUUUGGUUUUGAUCCUAGAAAUUCUAAGCAACUCAAGGACCUACGGAGAGAGAGUUGGGGAUUUCAUUCAUUUCCAUAUUUGAAUUUUCCCAAAUAUUGAAAAGAGGAUCAUUUUGGUUUUAAUUAUUUUUCUCUCCAAAAUAUAUUUCCAAUAUAAAAAUAAAAUAGAGGAGAUAAUAUGACUUCUACAAAAUAAAAGAAAUAUUGGAGGAAAAAUGUUAAAAUCAAAUAAUUAUUUUAUUUGGAUUUUUAUUGCUAUUUUAUUUGAAUUAGAAAAAUAUGCAUUUUUCAAAAUUGCAUUUUUAGGCCACAGAAAUGUUCACUAUGUUCUAAAUAUUUUAUUUAGACGGUAAAAAUUGUUUUUGGCAUUUUUAGAAGAAAAAAUCUUAUAUUUAUUCAGGAUUUUUUCUUUCGGCGGAAUUUAUUAAAAAAAAAUCCCGGACCGCACUGGGCCGCAGCCCAGCUGGCCUGCUCGCGCCGCUGCCUUCGCGCACCGUGUCCGCGCCGGACUCCGGCAGGAGUCUGGGUCGCCGCCGCCGCGCUACCCCCUCUCCCAAGUCGAAGACCACGGGGGAGGGGGGGCUUUAAAAGUCGCCGCCCCAGGCCCCUCUUGCCACCCUGUCCCGCAGCGCCACCCGAGCCAUCCCGCCGCUCGCCGCCGCAGCCCGCCGCCCCGCGCCGCUGCUGCCGCCGUCGCCUCGCCUCACCGCCCCGCCGCCCGCCAGAUCCGAGCCGCCGUCGUUGACCUCGCCGCCCCGUUUUUUUGGUUUAGGUAAAACCGAUCGGUUUUUUUAUAAACCCUAGUUUCGGGUUUUUUAGAUCGGUUCGGUUUUCUCGGUUUAGGUUAUUUUGCGAACGUUCGUUCGUUCGUUAACGAAUUCGCCGGUUUGUCUCUGUUAGCGGACGUUCGUCCGAUAGAUUUUUCUUCUUCCGUUUAUUUUCGGCCAGGGACCUAUCCGCGAUUAUUUUUUAUCACAGAUUAGCCCCUGAUCUUCAAACCCUCGCAACAUUUGUAAUCGUUCGUCCAAAUCCAAUGAAACCAACGCCAAAAUCUUUGUCUCAAGCCCCUCUUUCUGGUUAAUCAACUUGAACAUGGUUUUGACAAUUUAAAAUUUGGUUUCAAGCAGAUUUGAAUUCAAAGUUUUUUUGACCGUAGUUUCAGUUCCGUAGCUCCGAUUUGAUCGAUUCUUUUUGCAAAUCGAAACUCUUCAGUUGAACUUUCAGAUUGGAUCUUCUUAUUUGAGUUUUACCCUUGCAUCUAUUCUUGAGUGCUUAUGUAUGCUAUUGUUUGUUUGCGAUAGAAUUUCGGGAGUGCGAACCGUGCUACUACGAGUCUCUAGGGUUUGCAGAUCGUCAGGAAGGCAAGUAACACAUUGAUCAUACCCUUUUGUUACCUAGUUUUUAUGCAUUAGUUACAAUCCUCAAACACUGCAUGAUUAGGAUUUGUUAAACUUGUGGGUAUUGGGAAGUAGAUGAUGAGGUAGAACCUAUUGCCCUUUUAUUAUCAAACCCUCGGGAGUUACUUCUACGUUAUGCUUAGGUUGCCAUGCUAUGCACGUAGACGUGGAUUGGGUUUGAGUGUAUCCAUGAAAGAUGUGAGAUUGUUAAUUAAUGGUUAACUUAAGGUGGCUACUUAAAUACACAUCUGGGUGGAUUGGUUGCGGGCACCUGGGGAUAUAUCAGUGUUGUCCUUUGGUUCGCCACCCAGGCUCAAAGGGAUCAUAAGAUUAUUCAUGCUAGAAACUUCCGUGUGCAGCCACAAGCUAUUCUGGGCUCUAGCAUAGUUGAGUAUGUUGCAUGACCUCUUUCAGUGGUAGGCUAGCAGAUGUAGGGGAAAGUAGGUGUAACUAUCUACCCAGAGUAAAGAGUUAAUGUUUCUGAAAGACUAUGUCUCGGUCAUCCGUUUCUCAAACACCAUGUAGUGCGAGAAAUUCAACGGAGGAGAUUGAGUCUUGUGGGGAAAAGUGCGCAAACCUCUGCAGAGUGUACAAACUAAUCAUGGUUAGCCGUGUCCCAGGUUAUGGACAUCUUGAGUAUCUGGUUCUUGGAUUAUCAUGUUGAUCUCAUCACUUUAAAUUAAUUUGUCGGGUAGUUAACUACUUUUAAUUGGGAUUGAGAUGGGGGUACCAUUAUCAAUGUUUAUCAACUACCAUGAUAGUUAAAUAAAAUAUAGUCCUUUGAUGUAGGGAAAAAUUGGCUUUUCGCAAAAACAUUAUAACCAUAGAGCCUCCACCAGCCUUAUAUGCAUGUAGUGAUAGCUUUUACUUGUUCAUUGCUCUAUUGUGUUAUAUUGCCAGCAUAUUCCAUGUGCUGACCCGUUUCGGGCUGCAACAUAUCAUGUUGCAGACUUUUCAGACAAAGAGUAAGGUGCGCUAGGUCGUUGUCGUGCACUCAGCUAUGUCGUUGGAGUUGAUGGACUCACUUUAUCUUCCAAGUCUUCCGCUGUUAUCUUAUUUAGAUGGCCUUAAGCUAUGUUAUUGUAUUAAGUUCUCUUUUGAGACAUUCGAUGUAAUAAGUGUGUGAUUGCACUCUGUUAUAAAUCCUUCAAGUACUGUGUCUGUCAACAUUACCGAUCCAGGGAUGAAACUUAUACACAGAGAUUUGACCGUUUGAGGUCGGUCGCUACAAAUGCUAGAAACGCAAUCUAAGCACACACACUUUUGUUUUCUCGAUGGAUAUUCUAGUUUUUCUCAAAUACCUGUUUCACAACCUGAUCAAGAGAAAACCACCUUUACUUGUACUUUUGGAACUUAUGCUUAUAGAUGUAUGCCUUUUGGUUUAUGCAAUGCACCUGCUACCUUUCAAAGAUGUAUGACUGUUAUAUUCUCCGAUUUUUGUGAAAAGAUUGUUGAGGUUUUCAUGGAUGAUUUCUUCGUUUACGGAACUUCUUUUGAUGAUUGCUUAAGCAACCUUGAUCGAGUUUUGCAGAGAUGCGAGCAAACUAAUCUUGUCUUGAAUUGGGAGAAGUGCCACUUUAUGGUUAAUGAAGCUAUUGUCUUGGGACAUAAAAUUUCUAAACGAGGUAUUGAGGUGGAUAAAGCUAAAGUUGAUGCAAUUGAGAAAAUGCCAUGUCCUAAAGAUAUCAAAGGUAUUAGUAGUUUCCUUGGUCAUGCUGGUUUCUAUAGGAGAUUUAUUAAAUACUUCUCUAAAAUUUCUAGUCCUCUUACAAAUCUUUUACAAAAAGAUGUUCCAUUUGUUUUGAUGAUGAUUGUGUAGAAGCCUUUGAAACACUUAAGAAAGCCUUAAUUUCUGCACCUAUUGUUCAACCACCUGAUUGGAACUUGCCUUUUGAAAUUAUGUCUGAUGCUAGUGAUUAUGCUGUUGCUGUUGUCUUAGGACAAAGAGUUGAUAAGAAAUUAAAUGUUAUUCAUUAUGCUACUGAAACUCUAGACAGUGCCCAACGCAAUUAUGCUACUAGUGAAAAAGAAUUCUUAGCAGUUGUGUUUGCUUGUGAUAAAUUUAUAUCUUACAUUGUUGAUUCUAAAGUGAUUGUUCACACUGAUCAUGCUGCUAUUAAAUAUCUUAUGGAAAAGAAAGAUGCUAAACCUAGACUCAUUAGGUGGGUUCUCUUGCUACAAGAAUUUGACUUACAUAUCACCGAUAGAAAAGGAGCUGAGAACCCUGUAGCUGAUAACUUGUCUAGGUUAGAAAAUAUUCUUGAUGACCCACAACCUAUUAAUGAUAGUUUUCUUGAUGGGCAAUUAGCUGCAAUAAAUGUCUCUCAUAACACUCCUUGGUAUGCUGGCUAUGCUAAUUAUAUUGUUGCUAAAUAUAUACCACCUAGGUUGACUUACCAACAAAAGAAAAAAAUCUUCUAUGAUUUAAGACAUUACUUUUGGGAUGACCCACAUCUUUAUAAAGAAGGAGUAGAUGGUAUUAUUAGACGUUGUGUACCUGAGCAUGAACAAGGACAAAUCCUAUGAAAAUGCCACUCCAAAGCUUACGGAGGGCAUCAUGCGGGAGACAGAACUGCUCAUAAGGUAUUGCAAUCUAGUUUUUAUUGGCGUACUCUCUUCAAGGAUGCUCAUAAGUUUGUUUUAUCUUGUGAUGAAUGUUAAAGAAUUGGUAAUAUUGGUAAGCGUCAGGAAAUGCCUAUGAAUUAUUCUCUUGUUGUUGAACCAUUUGAUGUCUGGGGUUUUGAUUAUAUGGGACCUUUUCCUUCCUCUAAUGGGUACACAUAGAUUUUGGUUGAUGUUGAUUAUGUUACUAAGUGGGUAGAAGCUAUUCCAACUAGUAGUGCUAACAUCAACACCUCUAUUAAAAUGCUUAAGGAAGUUAUUUUCCCAAGGUUUGGAGUCCCUAGAUAUUUAAUGACUGAUGGUGGUUCACACUUUAUUCAUGGUGCUUUCCGUAAAAUGCUUGCUAAGUAUGAUGUUAACCAUAGAAUUGCAUCCCCCUAUCAUCCUCAGUCUAGUGGUCAAGUUGAACUUAGCAAAAGACAAAUAAAAUUAAUUCUAGAAAAAAUGGUCAAUAGGUCCCGAAAGAAUUGGUCUAAGAAAUUAGACGAUGCACUUUGGGUUUACCGAACAGCCUAUAAAAAUCCCAUGGGUAUGUCUCCUUACAAAAUGGUUUAUGGAAAAUCUUGUCAUUUGCCUCUUGAGUUAGAACAUAAAGCAUAUUGGGCAAUUAAAGAACUCAACUAUGAUUUCAAACUUGCGGGUGAAAAGAGGUUAUUCGAUAUUAGCUCACUAGAUGAAUGCAAAACCCAAGCUCAUGAAAAUGACAAGUUAUUUAAAGAAAAUGUCAAAAGAUGGCAUGAUAAAAGAAUCCAAAAGCGCGAGUUCAACGUUGGAGAAUAUGUUCUUUUGUAGAACUCUCGUUUCAAAAAAAUUUGCAGGAAAGCUUCUCUCCAAAUGGGAAGGACCUUAUGUUAUCGAGGAGGUUUAUCGAUCUGGAGCUAUAAAAAUAAAUGAUGCCGAAGGCACUAAUUCGAAGGUUGUCAAUGACAAAGAAUAAAACAUUAUAUCUUAGGUACGCCCAUUAAUGUUGAAAGCAAUAUUAUCCAAACUAUGACACCGGAAGAACACAUAAAGGAAACCUUCCGGAACACUCCAGAAUCGUGAAAAAAGAGGAGGUACAUGAUACGGUAAGUAAACGGACUCCGAAAAAUCCGCAAAAAUAUUUUCUGUCAGUUUUGGAAUAUAUAAAAAAUUAGGAAAAUAAGAAACAACCAGGAAGGCACCCUUGAUGAGCACAAGACACCAGGGCGCGCCUGGCAGGCGCGCCCCGAUGGGUUGUGCCCACCUCGGGUACCUUCCGGAUUCCGUUUUUUCUCCCAUUUGCUUGUUUCCCAAGAUAAAAAAUCUUUAUAUACCCCCCGAACCUAUUGACCACCGUAUCGCGAAGAAAUCUUCUGUUUUCUUUUCUUGUUGUUUUCUGUCAGGUCUGUUAAGCCAGGCAUCAUGUCUUCUCCCUCCUCCAACAACAUAGAAGAAUAUGCUUGGUUGAUGAAGAUUGAAUUGAAGAGAGAAGAACCCAAAGAAUCCUUCAAGGGGGACAAGAGCAAGGAAGCUACGAGCAAGGCUUGCCUGCUGAGGAAGAAGAGGAUAUCCUUAAACCUUACUAUGAUCAUCUUACCCCCACUGAGAUUAAAGCUUUUCGGACCAUCGAAACGGUUCGUGUGCAAAAUAAAUAUAUUACUCGUGAAAAUAUUCUGUUGUAAGAGCACAUCAUCGCCCUCCAGAGAGUCAUCCGUAGAUUGGAAUACCUUUUGAGUAUGAAAGAUACGAUUGCUACUAACUCAUCAUCACCACCACCACCUUCUUCAUCACCAAAGGAGACUUGAGUAUCGGGUAUGGGCACUCCCCUUGGCUUGUGGCAAGCUUGGGGGAGGUGCCCCGGUAUCGUAUCACCUCCAUUAUCUUUUGCCUUUACUUAUCUUAGUUCGAUCCUUAGUUAUCUUUUGAUUUAGUUGAAUAAAAGUUUAGUUCAUUCCUUUCUUUUCAAGUGUUUGCUUAGUGAUCUAUCCUUGUAAUCGUGUGCGAGAUAUAUAAUAAAGUUUAGUUUGAGUUUUGUUUUCUUUACUUUCAUGUUCAAUAAAAAGAAAGGAAAUAAAUGAAAAGAAAGAUCAUAUGCUAAUCUUAUGGUAAGUAAUGACAUCACAUAAGGAAGAGUAUAAGUAGUAAAAUUUGUUGGAGAUUGACAAACAUAGCAUUGGUCAAUAAUGCAAUUCUUGAAAGAAUUAAUAAGGGAAGAGAAGAUUCACAUGCAAAUACACUAUUUUGGACAUCUUUUAUGAUUGUGAGCCCCCAUCAAAAUAUUAUAUGCCAAAAUUGUUGACGUUGGACAAGGAAGACAACGUAAUGAUUUAUGUUUGUUCAUAUUCACAUAGAAGUUAUAUUGUCAUAGACCCUUUAACAUGUGGUAUUUGCACCCAUCUUUGCUAGCCAAAAAUUCCGCACUAAGUAGAGAUACUACUUGUGCAUCCAAAACCCUUAAACCAAAUCUUGUUUUGAGAGUCCACUAUACCUACUUAUGGAUUGAGUAAGAUCCUUCAAGUAAGUUGUCAUCGGUGCAAUAAGGAAAUAAAAAUUGCUUCUAAAUGUGUUAGAUCAUUUAGUGUAAGAGAAAAUUGAGCAUUGUACGAACUUGUGAUGGCAAAAUAAUAAAGGCAACAGACUGCAUAAUAAAGGUUGCUAUCACAAGGGGCAAUAUAACGUGACGUUCUUUUGCACUAAGAGAUUGAGCAUACAACCAAAAAGUGCAUGGCAACCUCUUCUUCCCUCUGCGAAGGGCCUAUCUUUUACCUUUAUGUAUUUACUUUUAUGCAAGAUUCAAAGUUUCUCUCUCUAUUCCUUUUUAUUUUCUCUUUUGGCAAGCACCAUGUGGUGACGAAAGAUCUAGGCACAUAUAUCCAGUUGGAUAUGGGUGGGCAUGGGUGAAAGUGCAACUAAUCCCCGGGUGGUUUUGGUAAUUUAUAACAACAUAUAGCUCAUUGAACUAAUACCCAUUCAAGUUAAAUAUUUCAGAAAGUUCAAUUAUUGUCAUGGCAUGGACAAGUAGAUGUAGAACCCUUCAAAAUGCUAAGGACAAAGAUUGGCAAAAGCUCAAGACUCUUCAUUUCUAUUUUAGUGAUCCAAGAUCACAUUGAGUCCAUAGGAAAAGCCAAUAAUAUUAAAAGGGGAUGAGGUGUUGCUUAAUGGUCUACUUGCUCAAAGUGCUUAGUGAUAUGCUCCAAAGCCCCCAACCACUUUCUCAAUUCCAAAUAUGUCCAAAACCUAAAGUCAAACUCGGCCCCACCGAUUUGAUCUAUCCGGCGCCACCGAGUUCCUUUGACAUAGCCACUGCCAGAAACCCUAAUCAAUUCGGUCUCACCGAGAUGGCAAUGCAAACUCUCGGUUUCCCUUCGCAACGUUUCGGUCUUACCAAAAUGAGCGAUCGGUCCCACCAAGUUUGCAAUGCAAACUCUCCGUUUCCCUUUGUAACGUUUCGGUCUCACUGAAAUGAGCAAUCGGUCCCACCGAGUUUGCCCGACCAACUCUCUGUUUGCUCAUUGCUGAAAUCGGCCCAUGCAAUCGGUCACACCGAGAUGAGGUUUUGCCCUAACCCUAGCACAUCAGUCCCACCGAGUUGAUGAUGUCGGUCCACCGAGAAUCUUAACGUUAAUAUUUUGAACUAAAUUGGUCUCACCGAGUUCUCCUAUUCGAUCUGACCGGGUUGGGUCAAAUGUGUGUGACGGUUAGAUUUUGUGUGGAGGUUAUAUAUACCCCUCCACCCCCUUCUCUAUUUAAGAGAGAGCCAUCAGAAUGUGCCUACACUUCCACUACUCAUUUUCUGAGAGAGAACCACCUACUCAUGUGUUGAGACCAAGACAUUCCAAUCCGACCACAAGAAUCUUGAUCUCUAGCCUUCCCCAAGUUGCUUUCCACUCAAAUCAUCUUUCCACCAUAGCCAAAUCUGUGAGAGAGAGUUGAGUGUUGGGAAGACUAUCAUUUGAAGCACAAGAGCAAGGAGUUUAUUAUCAUCACACCAUGUAUUACCUUUUGGAGAGUGGUGUCUCCUAGAUUGGUUAGGUGUCACUUGGGAGCCUCCGUCAAGAUUGUGGAGUUGAACCAAGGAGUUUGUAAGGGCAAGGAGAUCGCCUACUUCGUGAAGAUCUACCCGAGUGAGGCAAGUCCUUCGUGGGUGAUAGCCAUGGUGGGAUAGACAAGGUUGCUUCUUCGUGGACCCUUCAUGGGUGGAGCCCUCCAUGGACUCGCACAACCGUUACCCUUCGUGGGUUGAAGUCUCCAUCAACGUGGACGUACGAUAGCACCACCUAUCAAACCACGCCAAAAAUCUCCGUGUCUACAUUGCAUUUGCCCUCUCCAAACCCUUCCCUUUACCUUCAUAUGCAAUGUUUUACUUUUUGCUGCUACACACUUAGAAUUGCAUGUGUAGGCUGAUUGCUUGACUUCUGCUAAGUUGCUAAAAUCUGCCAAGACUUAAAAUUGGGAAAAGGCUAGAUUCUUAUUUGGUCAAGUAGUCUAAUCACCCCCCUCCCUCUAGACCUACUUUCGAUCCUACAAUGGGUUAUUAUUAUUGACAUCACCCUUGAGGUGAAUAUGUUGGGAGGCGAAACUAUAAGGCCCCUAUCUUUCUAUGUGUCCGUGAAACUUUUUGCUCAUGUGUAUGCGGUGAGUGUUAGCAAUCAUAGAAGACUAUAUGAUGGUUGAGUAUAUGGACUUGCCUAAAGGCUCCAAUACGCGACCCUUCCUGAAAAUAUGAUGAAUUGUAGUUGCAAAGUUGACUGAGAACAUAGUUUGUUGGUUUUCAAUAGAGUUUAUGCUUUAUACUUCGAUGUUGUUAUGAAUUGUUACUUGUUCAUGAGAAGUUUAUGAUAGAAGUUUUGUGAUAAAAGUUCUAUAAUAAAGAUUGUUGAUGUUGUAAUAAUAUACAUGAUGCUUAUAUUUCCGUAUUUUGUUUUUAUCGACACCUCCCUCUCUAAGCAUGUGGACAUGUUUUUCGAUUUUGGUUUUUGCUUGAGGACAAGCGAGGUCUAAGCUUGGGGGAGUUGAUACGUCCAUUUCGCAUCAUAUUUUCCUACUUUUAUUUAUACUGUCUUUAUGCAUAAUAAUGCUUUUUUGAGUAAUUCUAAUGCCUUUUCUCUCAUUAUAUGGAAGGUUCACUCAAAGAGGGAGAAUACCAGCAGCUAGAAUUCUGGACCUGAAAACGCUAUGCCAGGCCACCUAUUCUGCACAACUCCAAAUGAGCUGAAACUUCACGGAGAUUUUUUAUGGAAUGUAUAAGAAUUAUUGGAGCAAAUAACUACUAGAGGGGGCCCACCUGGUGGGUACCACCCACCUGGGAGCGCCAGGGAGCCCAAGCGCGCCCUGGUGGGUUGUGCCCUCCUCGGCCCACCUCCGGUGCCCAUCUUGUGGUAUAUAAGUCAUUUUGACCUAGAAAAAAAUAAGGAGAGGACUUUCGGGACGAAGCGCCGCCGUCUCGAGGCGGAACUUGGGCAGGAGCACUUUUGCCCUCCGGCGGAGCGAUUCCACCGGGGGAACUUCCCUCCCAGAGGGGGAAAUCAUCGUCAUCAUCAUCACCAACAACUCUCCCAUCCCGGGGAGGGAAAUCUCCAUCAACAUCUUCAACAGCAACAUCUCCUCUCAAACCCUAGUUCAUCUCUUGUGUUCAAUCUUUGUAUCGGAACCUUAGAUUGGUGCUUGUGGGUGACUAGUAGUGUUGAUUACAUCUUGUAGUUGAUUACUAUAUGGUUUAUUUGGUGGAAGAUUAUAUGUUCAGAUCCAUUAUGCUAUUUAAUACCCCUCUGAUCUUGAGCAUGAUUAUCAUCUGUGAGUAGUUACUUUUGUUCUUGAGGUCACGGGAGAAAUCUUGUUGCAAGUAAUCAUGUGAACUUGAUAUGUGUUCGAUAUUUUGAUGAUAUGUAUGUUGUGAUUCCCUUAGUGGUGUCAUGUGAACGUAGACUACAUGGCACUUCACCUUAUUAGGGCCUAAGGGAAUGCAUUGUGGAGUAGUUAUUAGAUGAUGGGUUGCGAGAGUGACAGAAGCUUAAACCCUAGUUUAUGCGCUACUUCGUAAGGGACUAAUUUGGAUCCAAAAGUUUAAUGCUAUGGUUAGAUUUUAUAUUAAUACUUUUCUUGUAGUUGCGGUUGCUUGUGAGGGGGUUAAUCAUAAGUAGGAGGUUUGUUCAAGUAAGAACAACACCUAAGCACCGGUCCACCCCCAUAUCAAAUUAUCAAAGUAGCAAACACGAAUCAAACCAGCAUGAUGAAAGUGACUAGAUGAAAUUCCCGUGUACCCUCAAGAACGCUUGCUUAUCAUAAGAGACUGUUUUGGUCUGUCCUUUGCCUCAAAAGGAUUGGGCUACCUUGCUGCACUUUUGCUACCGUUACCGUUACUUGUUCAUUACAAAUUAUCUUGCUAUCAAACUACUCAUUACUUAUAAUUUCAGUGCUUGCAGAGAAUACCUUGCUGAAAACUACUUGUCAUUUCCUUCUGCUCCUCGUUGGGUUCGACACUCUUACUUAUCGAAAGGACUACGAUUGAUCCCCUAUACUUGUGGGUCAUCAGACUUCAUGCAUUGGGCGGGUAGUAAAAUUGAGCCCUCGGUCUAUUAGCCGAUUGCAUUGUAGAAAAAAUGUGUGCCUAGCUAGUCGAAGAGUAGAAAAAGAAGAAGGGCGGUAUAAAUGACUACCAGAAUACCGUGAAAGGUGGUCUUUAUUUCCAAUGAGCUUGGGACGUCUAUCCGUACAAUUCGAACUGCCAAGGCAUCUGUUACAGGUACUUUAUAUAAAAAGGGAAGGUUUUUAUAGAUGGAAGGUUUACAUAGGGCCUUGAUGCGUGGGUUGAAGCCUCUACUAUGCCCUGCUGCACGUCUGCGCCUUUGCUUCUGCUGGGGGGAGAACUCCGUAGAGAGGGAGGAGAAAUCGGCGGACAGGCCCUUGACUAGGAGCCUUGAGAGGUAGCCGCGCUGUUCUAGCUUAAUGCUGGAUAGGUCCUGAAUGGUACCUGUUGUCGUCCGAAGACGUGUGUGACCAUGGUUCGGUUAAGCCGAACACUUGGCAUUUUGAGUUUAGGCCCCACGGUAGCCCAUGGUAUCUUAACCGCAAAAUUGUGCUGGCGAGGCACGUACUGUACGACUGGGGUGGGCAUGUCGUGGGGGUCGUAUCCCUAUUUACGUCGAACGUAGGGAGGCUCCUCAAACAGAGACAGAGCUCGGCCCGCUUCCUCUCUUCCUGUGCCUUGAUGGCGGGCUGGUACUUGGGCCCUUCGAUAUUGGUUUGGACUUCGGCAGCUAGGGCCGCUAUGUGUUUCUUGGUCUGGAGCGAGCAUUCCGUAUUGCCAUUGACUGUGAUGACGCCCUUCGGUCUGGGCAUUUUUAACUUUAGGUAUGUGUAAUGGGGACGACAUUGAAACGAGUGAACGUUGUUCGGCCUAGAAGUGUGUGAUAGCCACUGCGAAGGGGGACAAUGUCGAAGAUCAAGUCUUCCCUACGGAAGUUGUCCGACGAGCCGAACACCACUUCCAAAGUCAGGGUGCCCGAGCUGCGGGCCUCCAUGCCUGGGAUUACCCCCUUAAAGGUGGUGUUACUGGGUUUGAUCAUUGACGGGUCAAUGCCCAUUUUCCUCAUUGUAUCUGAGUAAAUCAGAUUGAGGCUACUACCUCCGUCCAUUAAGACUCUAGUGAGGUGGUACCCAUCGAUAAUGGGGUCGAGAACCAGGGCCGCCGACCCUCCAUGACGGAUACUGGUCGAAUGGUCCCUGCGGUCGAACGUGAUCGGGCGCGCUGACCAUGGGUUAAAUUUCGGGGCUACAGGCUCUACGACGUAGACGUCCCGAAGUGUGCGUUUCCGCUCCUUCUGGGUAUAUGGGUGGCGUAGAUCAUAUUCACCGUCUUUACCUCGGGAGGGAAUUUUUUUCUGGCCCCCAUUGUUCGGCCUACGAGGUUCCUCGUCAUCCUUGUUGUGGGGGCUUUUGCUUGUGUCCUUGGCUGUGAGCUUGCCGGCAUGUUCGAUGUGCCAUGGAUCUGGCAGGGCCUGUCCAGAAUUGUGUCCAACUUGGUGGGUCCAUCCCGGUUCCCUUUAGAGGGUUUCUUCCGCGGUCUUGAUUUGGAAUUGUGAAAUCCGGCGUUUACUGCCGUGUCUUCGGCUUCACUGUCAUUGUGGCGAUGCUUAUUUCUGUUGCGCUGUGGUUUCCCGUUUUCGUCCCGGACUUCUGAGGUGCCGGGGUCUUCGCGGUUGGUGCUUCUGAGAGCCAACCAGCUAUCCUCUCCUGCACAAAAGCGGGUCAUGAGAGAGGUGAGUGCUGACAUUGUCCUUGGUUUAUCUUGGCCUAGUUGGCGUGCGAGCCAUUCGUCCCGGAUACUAUGUUUGAACACGGCUAUAGCUUCGGCGUCCUGGCAGUUGACGAUUUUGUUCUUUUUGGUCAAAAACUGGUUCCAAAAUUGCGGGCUGAUUCGUCGGGCUGUUGGACCACAUGGCUCAGGUCACCGGCGUCUGGAGGCCGAACAUAAGUGCCUUGAAAGUUAGGUCAGAAAGCAUCCUCGAGCUCUUCCCAGCUUCCUAUGGAGUUUUCAGGGAGGCUGUUGAGCCAAUGCCUAGCCAGUCCCUUGAGCUUAAGUGGUAGGUAUUUUAUGGCGUGGAGACUGUCUCCUCGAGCCAUAUGAAUGUGGAGAAGAAAAUAUUUGAUCCAUACUGUCGGGUCUGUUGUCCUGUCGUACUGUUUGAUGUUUACGGGUUUAAACCCAUCGGGGAACUGAUGCCGCAUUACCUCAUCCGUGAAGCACAUCGAAUGAGCGCGCCCCUGACCUGGGCUACAUCACGUCGGAGAUCGGCUGCCAUAUCGGCCCGGUGCUACUCCCGGACUCUAUCGUUUCGGUCACGCCAACUUUGGUAUCCGUCCCUUCCAGCAGGGGCGUAAUCUUGAGAUCCAUAGAUGGAUCUUGUCUGUCCUGCACUAAUGGCUAGGUCGUGACGGAGAUCAUAUUGGUAUUCUGGUUGUGCCGCCUCCUUGCCUUUACGGCGAGGGGGAGUGGGCGGGUAUUCGGCCUCUCCACCUGGCUUGUCCCUUCCUCGAGGGGGCGAUUGGGCUGGUCUGCCUGUGUGUAUCUUGGUGGCGUGGGCGGAAGGGCCUCAUCGUCGAAUUGUGGUAGCAGCUUCCGCUUUGGGUAGCUUCUGGUUUGUUGUUGGUAGCCGUACCCCUCUUCGGCUGCUAGGAAUUUUGUCCAUCUAUCGUUGAGGGUCUUUUGCUCGGCCUUCAACUGUCGCUGCUUCUUCUUCAAGCGUCGUGCGGUGGCUAUGAGAUGCUGCUUGAACCGCUUUUGGUCCAAUGGAUCCUCCGGAACGAUGAAGUCUUCGACUCUGAGGCUGACCUCCUCUUCGGAGAGAGGCAUGUAGUUGCUAACUUCAGAGUCGUUGGGGUCCUCGGGGUUAUACUGAGCCCCAUGCCCUUCUGAGCCAUCAGGAUGUUGCUCAGGAGCGGGGUCACCGAGGUCCUCCGCUUUGUUCGGGGUGUCAUCCUCUCCGGUGCCCGUGUUGCUUUCCCUUCCUCGACGCCCCUUGGAUCUUCGGUGUUGCCUCCGGCGUUUGGGCGGCUCCUCACCGGGCUUGUUACUAUCUCUCCUGGGGGUGUCGUCCCCGUCAUUAGUGCCAUCAUCAUUUUCCUUGGGGGUGUCCACCAUGUGGACAUCGUAGGUGGAGGUGGUCCUCCAUCGACCAGUGACGGGAGGGGUGGUGUCAGCAUGGGCCAUGGCUUUGCUGUCGUCGGCCUCCCCAGAGGCGUAGUCCAGCAUGUCGGUUAAGUCCUCGACAGUGGCUACUAAGUGGGUGGUGGGUGGGGCGUGAAAUUCCCUAUGGUCCGCCUCAAGGCCCCGCUGAGCGUAAGCCGAGGAUGGGCCAUCCAAGAUAGUCAUCAUAUGGAUCCGGUCUAGCGCCUCGUUCAUUAGGGCGAGAGUAGCCGGGUCAGAUGUGACGCCCCCGAUUCAAUCGUACACUAAUCAUACACGCAAACGUGUACGAUCAAGAUCAGGGAUUCACGGGAAGAUAUCACAACACAACUCUAAAAAUAAAAAUAAGUCAUACAAGCAUCAUAAUACAAGCCAGGGGCCUCGAGGGCUCGAAUACAAGUGCUCGAUCAUAGACGAGUCAGUGGAAGCAACAAUAUCUGAGUACAGACAUAAGUUAAACAAGUUGCCAUAAGAUGGCUAGCACAAACUGGGAUACAGAUCGGAAGAGGCGCAGGCCUCCUGCCUGGGAUCCUCCUAAACUACUCCUGGUCGUCGUCAGUGGCCUGCACGUAGUAGUAGGCACCUCCGGUGUAGUAGGAGUCGUCGUGGACGGUGGCGUCUGGCUCCUGGGCUCCAGCAUCUGGUUGCAACAACCAGGUAGAAUGGAAAGGGGGAAAAGAGGGAGAAAAGCAACCGUGAGUACUCAUCCAAAGUACUCGCAAGCAAGGAUCUACACUACAUAUGCAUGGGUAUCUGUGUAAAGGGGCAAUAUCGGUGGACUGAACUGCUGAAUGCCAGAAUAAGAGGGGGAUAGCUAGUCCUGUCGAAGACUACGCUUAUGGCCACCUCCAUCUUGCAGCAGGUAGGAGAGAGUAGAUGGUAAGUUCACCAAGUAGCAUCGUAUAGCAUAAUCCUACCCGGCGAUCCCCUCCUCGUCGCCCUGUUAGAGAGCGAUCACCGGGUUAUAUCUGGCACUUGGAAGGGUGUGUUUUAUUAAGUAUCCAGUUCUAGUUGUCAUAAGGUCAAGGUACAACUCCAAGUCAUCCUGUUACCGAAGAUCACGGCUAUUCGAAUAGAUAAACUUCCCUGCAGGGGUGCACCACAUAACCCAACACACUCGAUCCCAUUUUGCCGGACACACUUUUCUGGGUCAUGCCCGGCCGCGGAAGAUCAACAUGUCGCAGCCCCACCUAGAAUCAACAGAGAGGUCAGCACGCCAAUCUAAAUCCUAUGCGCGCAGGGGUCUGGGCCCAUCGCCCAUUGCACACCUGCAUGUUGCGUACGCGGCCGGAAGCAGACCUAGCCCCCUUAAUACAAGCGCGAGCUUACGGUCCAAUGCGGCGCGCGCCACUCAGUCGCUGACGUCAAAAAGAGCUUCGGCUGAUACCACGACGUCGAGUGCCCAUAACUUUCCCACGUAGUUGGUUAGUGUGUAUAGACCAAAUGGCCAGACUCAUAUCAAAUACCAAGAACUCGUUAAGCGUGUUAUUUUAAAGUAACCGCGAACGCCGACCAGGGCCAGGCCCACCUCUCUCCUAGGUGGUCUCAACCUGCCCUGUCGCUCCGCCACAAAGUAACAGUCGGGGGCCGUCAGGAACCCAGGCCCACCUCUACCGGGAUGGAGCCACCUGUCCUUUCAGCCCCCUCAUCAGAAUCACUUGCGGGUACUCAAUGAGCUGACCCGACUUUAGUCAUCACAUGUGUCAUGUAUAUAAAGUAUAUAGUAUAUACCCGUGAUCACCUCCCUAGUGAUCACGGCCCGAUAGUAUAGCAUGGCAGACGGGCAAGAAUGUAGGGCCACUGAUGGAACACUAGCAUCCUAUACUAAGCAGUAGGAUAGCAGGUAAGGGUAACAACUGUACCAACAAAUGACAGGCUAUGCAUCAGAAUAGGAUUAACCGAAAGCAGUAACAUGCUACACUACUAUAAUGCAAGCUGUAUAGAGAAGGAAUAGGCGAUAUCUGGUGAUCAAGGGGGGCUUGCCUGAUUGCUCUGGCAAGAAGGAGGGGUCGUCAACAGCGUAGUCGGUCGGGGCACCAGCAGCGGCGUCGGUCUCGUAGUCUACCGGAGAGAAGAGGGGGAAGAAACGAUGAAUACAAUGCAAACAGAUGCAUAACGAUGCAUGACAUGACAAAACAUGAUGCUAGGUGUGCCCAAACGCGGUAGUAGGUGAUACUGGCGAAGGGGGGAAACAUCCGGGAAAGUCUUCCCGGUGUUUCGUGUUUUCGGCAGAUGAACCGGAGGGGGAAAGUUGCGAGUUCGAUAUGUUAGGGAGGUGUGGCGGACGAACGGACUGCGUAUCCAGAUUCGUCUCGUCGUUCUGAGCAACUUUCAUGUACAAAGUAUUUUCAUCCGAGUUACGGAUUAUUUAAUAUUAAUUUUUAAAGAUUUAAAUCAUUUUUAGAAUUAACAGAAUUAAUUAAAUUAGAAAAUGCAAUUAUGACGUCAGCAUGACAUCGGGGUGAUGUCAGCAGUCAACAGUCAAUUGACUUGGUCAAAUUGACGUGUGGUUCCCUCUGACCUUAACCUAGUUAAUUAACAGGUUUAAUUUUAACUAUUCAACUUAACUAGGCUAAUUAAGCAAGGUUAAUUAACUUAAUUAUAUUACUAAUUAAUUCAUUCAUUUUAGUAUUUAUUUUUAUUUUCCAAUUUUGUUUCACUCUACUUUCUUUUUUUAUUUACACGGGGAGGACCCCACCUGAAAGUGGCUCUGGCCACCUCCCACCUAUGCACAAACGCACACAGGGGAGGGCAGAGGGCGCGGCGGCCGGACAUGGCCCCGGCGAGGCCAUGGCCGUGGCCGACAGUGGGGUAGGCGGCAGGGGACGGCUGCGGGCGCACGUAGCGCACAGGCGACUGGGCUGGCGGGCGGGUCGGGCGCGAGCGGCGUGGGGAGCGCUUGCACUGGGCGCGGGUAGAGCGGGCCGCGGCUGGGCGAGCACGUNNNNNNNNNNNNNNNNNNNNNNNNNNNNNNNNNNNNNNNNNNNNNNNNNNNNNNNNNNNNNNNNNNNNNNNNNNNNNNNNNNNNNNNNNNNNNNNNNNNNNNNNNNNNNNNNNNNNNNNNNNNNNNNNNNNNNNNNNNNNNNNNNNNNNNNNNNNNNNNNNNNNNNNNNNNNNNNNNNNNNNNNNNNNNNNNNNNNNNNNNNNNNNNNNNNNNNNNNNNNNNNNNNNNNNNNNNNNNNNNNNNNNNNNNNNNNNNNNNNNNNNNNNNNNNNNNNNNNNNNNNNNNNNNNNNNNNNNNNNNNNNNNNNNNNNNNNNNNNNNNNNNNNNNNNNNNNNNNNNNNNNNNNNNNNNNNNNNNNNNNNNNNNNNNNNNNNNNNNNNNNNNNNNNNNNNNNNNNNNNNNNNNNNNNNNNNNNNNNNNNNNGCGGUGGUGCGUCGAGCAGGGGAGGCCGGUGCGGGCGGCGACGCGUCGGAGGCGGCGAGCGCUGGAACAGGGAGAGGAGGGGAAGGCGAACGGGGCUCACCUCGAGCCGUAGAGGGCUGGCAGCGGGCUCAAGGGGGCUCGGGAUGGCCGGAGACGACGACGAACGAGGCGGCAGCGACGACGUCGGCGAGCGGGCAUCCAGCGCUCCAGAUCGGGGCAGGAGGGAGGAGCUGCGAGGAGGAGAGCGGGGCGGUGCUUGGCGAUCCGGUGAUGGGGUCGGCGCCGGCGACGGCGGACGGCGUCCUUAGCGGAGCGACGACUUGCAUCGGGCGCGGGCGUGCGGGAGGAGGGGAUCGAACAGGGGCGCCCCUCCCCGUUCGUCAGCGCGUGCGUGAAUCGUGGGUGGUGGCGUGCAGGGGGAAUGAGGGAGAGAUGGGGAUCGGGACAGGAGGAGCUAGGGUUAGUAGCGGGGGGUGUUGGGCUGGGCCGACCGGUUNNNNNNNNNNNNNNNNNNNNNNNNNNNNNNNNNNNNNNNNNNNNNNNNNNNNNNNNNNNNNNNNNNNNNNNNNNNNNNNNNNNNNNNNNNNNNNNNNNNNNNNNNNNNNNNNNNNNNNNNNNNNNNNNNNNNNNNNNNNNNNNNNNNNNNNNNNNNNNNNNNNNNNNNNNUCUUAUUUGUUUUUCUUUUAGUUUAAAAAAAAUACAAAAGUGGCACCUAAAAUAGUGUUACAAUUUAUGCCACUACCACAAACAGUUUAGUACUGAAAUAAAAUAGUUUGAAAUUGUUUAUUAUUUUAAAGCAUUUGAAUAACUAUUUUUUCACUGUUUAUUUAUUAUAGUGCAUUUAAAUGCUUUAUAAAAGUGUGGUUUCUCCACCAAUAUUACAUAUGAUUAUUUGUCACAUGCAGAACAUUUUAGCUUUGACAUUUGAAAACUUUUAUUGUUUGCUUGAUUUUGAAUUUGAAUUCGAACCGGUUUCGAACUAACGCGGGUUUAUCAACAGUAACCGAGGUGACGUGGCAUCAUUAGUAGGGAAUUAUUGUAGUCUAAUUAUCCGGGUGUCACAAUUCCCCUCCACUACAAGAAAUCUCGUCCCGAGAUUUAAGAGGUAGAGAGGGGGGAGGUCUAGUUACGAAAUUCCCACGGAUCUUCUCGGCCUUGGUUUCUCUUCUCGAAGAGAUCGAUCCAUUACAUUGACGUCUUCAUUUCUCUGCUUCAAGUCAUCAUGGUGAAGUCGUCAUUUUCUUCGGGAACUCCAACGUACUUACGAAUAGGUAAGGGGCAGCUCAGCUACGAUAGAAUGCUUUUGAGGGAAACAAUCUGGGGUUAACCUAUGAAAUGAGCAUAAGCUUAUCUCUCGAGUUGAACAUAUAAAAUACAUCGAGAGUAAGGUACGAAGGUACAAUAAGAGGUUCCAAGCGGAUAGAUAGUUGCUCAAAGUCUGAACCAGAGUGAGAAAGGGGUUCAGAGCAGUGGGAGUAAGUAUUGCGUCUAACACCAGAAUAGAGCACUAGGAAGGUGGCCCGUGAAUUAAAUACGAAGCCAAGCGUGGGGAAAAACCAUGAGAAACAGGGUUGUACAGGAAAGUCAGGUUUCGAUCCUGUGGAACUGUGGGUUAUGGGCCCACCAUGUGAGUUAAAAGUAGGAAGGGCGCUGACAUCUUGCACGAUCAUGAUAGCAAGGCAUGUCAGAGAAUAGCCUGUCAGUUAUGUCGGCAACAACGUCGGUACCAAGGGCGAGGGACAAAAAGAACCAUUUUCCUGCUCGUUGAACGAGGCGGGCCAAUAGGCAAAGUUCUCGUCCAUCGGUGGUUACCGAAAUGUCAUCAACAAUAGUAACAGGGUCUUACUGACAGAGUUGUACACCGAGGUGUUUACAUAAGCAAUGAAUUAUUACUGCUUAGAUCAUAUAGAUCACAAGAAAGAUUAAACAAAACAAUGGAAAGGAAAAUGUGUUUAAACACAUAUUUCAGGGGGUAUAUCCUUCCCAAGGACAAGCAGGGCAUGAUAUCCAUGACGGGAUAUAACGUAGAAAACUCUUUAGGAAAGGGGAGAGAAAUUUCAUGACAUUACCCAUACAAUGGUGUUUGGAAAAUUGAUAAAGAGAAUUUAGCAUUGUGCUUCAAAUGCUCUUAUUGAUGAUCGGAGUACCACAGACAUGCUUCGACAUAGCAUUGACAUGGUCAUUAGGUAAAGAUCAGGUUGUGGAUACACAAAGGAUCCAUCGGGAACACUCAUAGAAUAAGUCUUAUAAUUUCCUCAUGGAAGAACGGAUAAUCUUGCUAAAUAAGGAAACUAUGACAAUAGGUCCUCCGGCCAGGUGUGUUAGGCAUGCCAUCACCUUACCGGGUCAUAAAUAGACCAAUGUUAUAACUCUUGGAAAUAUGUUCCAACCAUCAUAUCUGACCGAGAUUCAGAUCUGAUUGGUGUCAGGAUAACUUAGACUCGGGAUGCCUGAGAAGAAAGGUGCAACACAAAUUGUCGAAACGACAUCGAAGAUUCUCGGGAGAUGAACUAUGGAAGCGAGUUCCGAACAAGGGUUCAUCAUUAAAUCAAGGAGAGGUGAGGAGGUGACUGAUUGACUCAGCGACAAUCCAUUGAGAUUUCCAAAAGAUGGAUUUCCACAACUAUGUGAACAAGGAGAUAACAUUAGCUAGAUCGAAUGACUUAAUGAUGUAUGCUCGAGGAAAACAUACACAGUUAAACAUUGGUUGAAAUGUGCACCCGAAAUAUGGGCUAGGUAGCACGAUCAAUGUUCGAAUGAUGAUUCAUUAAGCCAUAGACGUAGAAUGAAACUAUAGACCAAUUACUUCAAAGCAAUAGGGUUUCUAGAAGUUUAGAAUUUACACAUCACAGACCAUUUGUCAGUAUUUCGUUUAGAAACAACACGCGGACCAAGAAAGAAUGGUGAUGGUGAGAAGUAUCACUGUACCAAGAAUUCUUAAGAGGUGGAGUAAUCCUCACGACAUUCUUGACAUAAAAGAUGGUAAUACUCCAAGGUAGAACAUAUCAUAAGCUAGAUAGCAGGGAAAUCAAGAUACAACACAAAAUAUGAACACGUUUGUGUUGGGGGGAGGCAAGAAUGUUGUCGAUGAUAACACAAUUCAUCGAGGGGCAAGGAUGGUAUUUCUCAUCAUGAACACAGUUGACAUCUCGGAAGAAGUCAAAGUGUUGAAGGUGAUCCGACACAUUUGCCGGGAGGUUUCGAGAGGAUGCAAUCAAACAACAACGGCAACAAGCAAGGGAAUGACGUAGUGGCAAGUUAUAGGAUCAAAAUAUAAGAUGCAAGCUCGGAACCAAGGUUGCCUUUCAAUACAAGCAACAUGAUGUUGAAAGCUCGACGUAAGUCGUGCUCACACACUGAAGAAUUCGUGCACCAGAGAAAGAUGAGGUAGCACAGUCAAAGAUAGCAAGACCAGGAUACAACCGAUAGUCUAGGAAUGACCAGAUUGAGUUCAGAAUUUCCUAGUAAAAAUACUAGGGGUAUUUGAUUUGUAGUGCAGAAUAAUUUCACUAGUCGGUGUCCUCGGUUGAUAACAACCUAGAACCCGUAGAGUGAUUACGACAAGGAAAGACAUUACUUCAACAAAGUUAGUAAGAUGUGGUGCAAUGGCAAGACAUCUUUGAGAUACCAGGGGGUAAUACUCGAAGGUUGAACAUGAUAGAAGUAGUACCGGGUCAUUGACCUAUGACAGUAGAUACUUCAACCUUGCCAAAAAUAGAUGAGGCACUGGAAUGAAUUCCCAUCAGAUAUAUUAGAUCAGGACAGCAUGGUCGGAACCAUAACUGUAAGGAAUCAAUUUCAAGAAUACUGAAAGAAUCAUACAGCUGGAUAAUCAUUUUGCAAGAAGCUUUCGAGACGGUCUACAUCAUUUUCAUGGGCAUGAACAUAAAUUUCAAGGUCGACUCCCACUUCUUUAAUGCAUAUCAUUUCAUUCACCUCUCGCUUUGAUAAAACUGUAGUGUUGGAAUUUUAUCUGGUAGAACACCGGAAGAGUAUGACUUGUGAAAACUUUCGGGUUCUCACGGAUUAGGGGAAGGCAUAGGUUCAACCCAUCGGGCAUCUUAGUAACAUAUACCACAAGUUUCAAAAGUAAAUACACAAGCUCGAAACCAUAGCAUGGUUGGCCAAGCAGAGGAUACAAUUUACCAAAGGCAUUAUGUAUCAGCGGAAGAACUCACAAGGUGAUUGAAUAUGAAGGACGCUGUCGGAUAAAAAUCCAACAAUGGAUCGGGCGAUCCACAACGGAGCUGAUGUGAGUAUCGAUACUCACUCGGAGGAAGAAAGAAUGCAGAGGCAUCAGAUUCAAGAAUCACCUGAUUAGUCUAAUGCUUAAAUAGAAAGAAAUUAUGGUUUCCAAAACGAAGGAUCAGAAGCAGACGCUCUGAUCAAGGAUGGAUAAGUUGAAAACACUUAGUUGGACAAUCAAUAAAGGUUUGAAUUGCUGAGAACCAACUCAUGUCCGGAAUGACGUCUGAGUCAGAAAGAUAAUUUUUAAAAAGGAUAACCUGUUAUCGAGGACUACUAGUCAUAUGGAAUUAACCAAGCAGGCAAGAAUUUCAAGAAUAACAGGCUGUAGAGGAUUUUCGAAAGAUCGAAAAGUAUUCCGAAGAAUUUUGUGAGACACACGAAUCAUCUGGGGAUGAGCGGAUACUCUAUAAGUGCGAGAAAUUAUCCGUAGGGAUAUUCAGGUGGCAAGAACUGCAAGAUAGUAGGCACAAAAUAUUCUCGAAACAAUAGAGAGGAUUUCAGGGUAUCUUGUAAUAACAAGAUCAACUGGGAAUAAAAGUAAGAACGGCAAGUGUAUGUAUUUAUCCAUAGGGAUAUUUCGGUGGUAGGGAAUUGCAAAAGCAACGGGCACAAAGUCUCAAAAGAGUAUCGAAGAGUAACUUCGAAAUCUUCUGGUGCAGCCGGCGAUCAUCUGGACUGAAGGGGCUCUCCGGGAGAAAGUGUUUUCGAGAACCUAAAGUUAGAUUUUUAGAAAAUCAUUUAACCCGAAUAGAGGAGAGAUCAGAGUCCCAGAGUAAAGGUCGAGGAGUAAAAGAUCCUAAUACCAACCAAUGGCGACGUGGGCCCGUAAGCCACACGGCCAAGUUAGUAAAAUAGUUUUCGGCUUCUAGACUCAACUUCGGUCAAGGAGUUAGAAAGGAGAUUCCUACAGGCAGUCAGCUCUAAUACCAACUUGUGACGCCCCCGAUUCAAUCGUACACUAAUCAUACACGCAGACGUGUACGAUCAAGAUCGGGGACUCACGGGAAGAUAUCACAACACAACUCUAAAAAUAAAAAUAAGUCAUACAAGCAUCAUAAUACAAGCCAGGGGCCUCGAGGGCUCGAAUACAAGUGCUCGAUCAUAGACGAGUCAGUGGAAGCAACAAUAUCUGAGUACAGACAUAAGUUAAACAAGUUGCCAUAAGAUGGCUAGCACAAACUGGGAUACAGAUCGGAAGAGGCGCAGGCCUCCUGCUUGGGAUCCUCCUAAACUACUCCUGGUCGUCGUCAGUGGCCUGCACGUAGUAGUAGGCACCUCCGGUGUAGUAGGAGUCGUCGUGGACGGUGGCGUCUGGCUCCUGGGCUCCAGCAUCUGGUUGCAACAACCAGGUAGAAUGGAAAGGGGGAAAAGAGGGAGAAAAGCAACCGUGAGUACUCAUCCAAAGUACUCGCAAGCAAGGAUCUACACUACAUAUGCAUGGGUAUCUGUGUAAAGGGGCAAUAUCGGUCGACUGAACUGCUGAAUGCCAGAAUAAGAGGGGGAUAGCUAGUCCUGUCGAAGACUACGCUUAUGGCCACCUCCAUCUUGCAGCAGGUAGGAGAGAGUAGAUGGUAAGUUCACCAAGUAGCAUCGUAUAGCAUAAUCCUACCCGGCGAUCCCCUCCUCGUCGCCCUGUUAGAGAGCGAUCACCGGGUUAUAUCUGGCACUUGGAAGGGUGUGUUUUAUUAAGUAUCCAGUUCUAGUUGUCAUAAGGUCAAGGUACAACUCCAAGUCGUCCUGUUACCGAAGAUCACGGCUAUUCGAAUAGAUAAACUUCCCUGCAGGGGUGCACCACAUAACCCAACACACUCGAUCCCAUUUGGCCGGACACACUUUUCUGGGUCAUGCCCGGCCGCGGAAGAUCAACACGUCGCCCAUUGCCCAGGGGUCUGGGCCCAUCGCCCAUUGCACACCUGCAUGUUGCGUACGCGGCCGGAAGCAGACCUAGCCCCCUUAAUACAAGCGCGAGCUUACGGUCCAAUGCGGCGCGCGCCACUCAGUCGCUGACGUCAAAAAGAGCUUCGGCUGAUACCACGACGUCGAGUGCCCAUAACUUUCCCACGUAGUUGGUUAGUGUGUGUAGACCAAAUGGCCAGACUCAGAUCAAAUACCAAGAACUCGUUAAGCGUGUUAUUUUAAAGUAACCGCGAACGCCGAGCAGGGCCAGGCCCACCUCUCUCCUAGGUGGUCUCAACCUGCCCUGUCGUUCCGCCACAAAGUAACAGUUGGGGGCCGUCAGGAACCCAGGCCCACCUCUACCGGGAUGGAGCCACCUGUCCUUUCAGCCCCCUCAUCAGAAUCACUUGCGGGUACUCAACGAGCUGACCCGACUUUAGUGACCACAUGUGUCAUGUAUAUAAAGUAUAUAGUAUAUAGUAUAUACCCGUGAUCACCUCCCUAGUGAUCACGGCCCGAUAGUAUAGCAUGGCAGACAGACAAGAAUGUAGGGCCACUGAUGGAACACUAGCAUCCUAUACUAAGCAGUAGGAUAGCAGGUAAGGGUAACAACUGUACCAACAAAUGACAGGCUAUGCAUCAGAAUAGGAUUAACCGAAAGCAGUAACAUGCUACACUACUCUAAUGCAAGCAGUAUAGAGAAGGAAUAGGCGAUAUCUGGUGAUCAAGGGGGGGCUUGCCUGAUUGCUCUGGCAAGGAGGGGUCGUCAACAGCGUAGCCGGUCGGGGCACCAGCAGCGGCGUCGGUCUCGUAUUCUACCGGAGAGAAGAGGGGGAAGAAACAAUGAAUACAAUGCAAACAGAUGCAUAAUGAUGCAUGACAUGACAAAACGUGAUGCUAGGUGUGCCCAUACGCGGUAGUAGGUGAUAUCGGCGAAGGGGGGAAACAUCCGGGAAAGUAUUCCCGGUGUUUCGCGUUUUCGGGCAAAUGAACCGGAGGGGGAAAGUUGCGAGUUUGAUAUGUUAGGGAGGUGUGGCGGACGAACGGACUGCGUAUCCGGAUUCGUCUCGUCGUUCUGAGCAACUUUCAUGUACAAAGUAUUUUCAUCCGAGUUACGGAUUAUUUUAUAUUAAUUUUUAAAGAUUUAAAUCAUUUUUAGAAUUAACAGAAUUAAUUAAAUUAGAAAAUGCAAUUAAGACGUCAGCAUGACAUCGGGGUGAUGUCAGCAGUCAACAGUCAAUUGACUUGGUCAAACUGACGUGUGGUUCCCUCUGACCUUAGCCUAGUUAAUUAACAGGUUUAAUUUUAACUAUUCAAGUUAACUAGGCUAAUUAAGCAAGGUUAAUUAACUUAAUUAUAUUACUAAUUAAUUCAUUCAUUUUAGUAUUUAUUUUUAUUUUCCAAUUUUGUUACACUCUAAUUUCUUCUUUUUAUUUACAGGGGGAGGACCCCACCUGAAAGUGGCUCUGGCCACCUCCCACCUAUGCACAAACGCACACAGGGGAGGGCAGAGGGCGCGGCGGCCGGACAUGGCCCCGGCGAGGCUAUGGCCGCGACCGACAGUGGGGUAGGCGGCAGGGGACGGCUGCGGGCGCACGUAGCGCACAGGCGACUGGGCUGGCGCGCGGGUCGGGCGCGAGCGGCAUGGGGAGCGCUUGCACUGGGCGCGGGUAGAGCGGGCCGCGACCGGGCGAGCACGUGCGCGCGCGGUGGCGUAUCGAGCAGGGGAGGCCGGUGCGGGCGGCGACGCGUCAGAGGCGGCGAGCGCUGGAACAGGGAGAGGAGGGGAAGGCGAACGGGGCUCACCUCGAGCCGUAGGGGGCUGGCAGCAGGCUCGAGGGGGCUCGGGAUGGCCGGAGACGACGACGAACGAGGCGGCAGCGACGACGACGAACGAGGCGGCAGCGACGACGACGGCGAGCGGGCGUCCAGCGCUCCAGAUGGGGGCAGGAGGGAGGAGCUGCGAGGAGGAGAGCGGGGCGGUGCAUGGCGAUCCGGUGACAGGGUCGACGCCGGCAACGGCGGACGGCGGCCUUAGCGGAGCGGCGACUUGCAUCGGGCGCGGGCGUGCGGGAGGAGGGGAUCGAACAGGGGCGCCCCUCCCCAUUCGUCAGCGCGUGCCUGAAUCGUGGGUGGCGGCGUUCAGGGGGAAUGAGGGAGAGAUGGGGAUCGGGACAGGAGGAGCUAGGGUUAGUAGCGGGGGGUGUUGGGCUGGGCCGACCAGUUGGCUAGCUAGGCCGGUUGGCCCAGUGUGGGGGGGCUGUUUUACUUUGUUUUAAUUCUGUUUAGUAUUUUCCUUUUAUUUAUUUCUUUUAGUUCUUAUUUGUUUUGCUUUUAGUUUAAAAAAUACAAAAGUGGCACCUAAAAUAGUGUUACAAUUUAUGCCACUACCACAAACAGUUUAGUACUGAAAUAAAAUAGUUUGAAAUUGUUUAUUAUUUUAAAGCAUUUGAAUAACUGUUUUGUCACUGUUUAUUUAUUAUAGUGCAUUUAAAUGCUUUAUAAAAGUGUGGUUUCUCCACCAAUAUUACAUAUGAUUAUUUGUCACAUGCAGAACAUUUUAGCUUUGACAUUUGAAAACUUUUAUUGUUUGCUUGAUUUUGAAUUUGAAUUCGAACCGGUUUCGAACUAACGCGGGUUUAUCAACAGUAACCGAGGUGACGUGGCAUCAUUAGCAGGGAAUUACUGUAGUCUAAUUAUCCUGGCGUCACAUCAGAGCAUGAGGUUUCUUCAGAGUUGACCUCCGGUGUGAUGGUGCGGCGAGGGGUGAGUCCGGCCAGGGCUGACUCCCGGUCUUCGGACGCCGAACUUAUAUCAAGGUUCAAACCGGGUCCACCACAAGGAGGAAGAGUCCGGCUGGGGUUAACCCUGGGUCUUCGGACACCGAAGUUGCCUCAGGGCUCAAAGCCAGGUCCGUGGUAAGGAGGGGGGUCCAAAUGGGGUUGACUCCUGGUGUUCGGACGCGGUAGUCGUAUCCAGGCUCGAAGCCGAGUGCGAGGUGAGAGCCGAUCCGGAGAUCGGUACCGGAAGAUGUCCCAAAGUGGAUGCUUCAAGGUCCAUAGGCGCCUCACACGAGGUUGAAAAGCCAGUGAAGAUCAGAUCGCCCCGAGUGUCUGCGACAAACUCUAGGUUACCACACCUGAUUUGAUGCUCAGGGGCGAAACUGUCGACCUGGUCCAGAUGACCGGCCAAGUCGACGUGCAGAACGAUGCUGCCGAACGCAAAAAGCUGGUCUGGGACGAAGAUGUCCCCGGUGCUGAUGCCAUCUCCGAUGAUCAGGCAAGCCAUCGGUCCUUUGACGAUCCAAUAGCGGAACUCUCAAUGAAAGCACCAAUGUCGGUGUCAAAACCGACAGAUCUCGGGUAGGGGGUCACGAGUUGUGGAUCUUGGACCAAUGGGGAAAAGGGGACGAAGGACACAAUGUUUACCCAGGUUUGGGCCCUCUCUAAGAGGUAAAACCCUACGUCCUGCUCGAUUAUAUUUAAGUGUAUAGGAUGGUUACAGAGUCGAUCUACCACGAGAUCAGAUGAACUAAACCCUAGGCUAAUAGGAUGAUGGUUGUAGUUCUAGCCUCUAUGGACCAAACCCUCUGGUUUAUAUAGACACUAGGGGUAUAGGGUUACACAUGGUCGGUUAGAACAAGGGAAAUAAACACGUCGAAUCUUCCAUCUUGACUUGGAGGACACACCAAGACUUCGAGGGUUUCCUGUUCGGACACGGAGUCGCCUUGUAGCUCGGUCUCGUAGUAGUCAUACCGCGGGCCACCCGCCGGCCCAUAAGAAGUUGGUUGGCGGCUCGAGGACCCCCUAGUCCAGGACUCCCUCACAUGUGGUGAGAGGUAGUUGAACCGUAACACUGGCAGCCUCCCCCCUGCAAUGUCGAAGUUGCCCGUGUUGUUGCUCACAAUAGAGGCGCCGACCAGCUCACUCGACCACCCAUUGCAGUGGCUUUGGAGAAAAAACAGGGGAUGGGUAUGGCUAUGGACGUCACUAGCUGGAGCAGCGCAGGGAGGAUCGGGGUUGGCAAAUGUGGGGCGAAACGAAUCAUAUGAAUGUACUGAUUUGGGGAGAAAACUGGAGGAAGAACAUAUGUUAAGCCGAGUGAAGUGAUAAGGAAAAUGCGGUGGCAUGUUGUGGGCGGGGCCACAAGAGAGAUGUUGUGCGUGCGUUGGAGAUCGAUCAGACACUGCAAUAGGUCAGAUGAUGUCAAGCACUUACCUUUGUGUAAUUGUGUUUGCGCUAUAAAUUUGAAUUAUGGCUCCACUAGUGUUUCAAAUCCAAAAGCAGCUUUGCAGUACCCACGCUCAAAAUAUGUCAUAAAAACGUGUAUGUGUGUGUGAGAGAAAGCGAGACUACCUAAUGCGGAGCAUCCUACGAACAACACCAUGUCAAGAGUCCGUUUGGCAAGUGACACAUGUGACACCUACUUCACAUAUAUAAAGGUGAAUCAUCUCCUUUACACGUGUUCACUUAACCCCUUCGAGGAUGGUAUACUACUUGACACCCCUCUCGUGUGCGAUAGGUAUUACCGGAGCUUCACCAUCGACGAGGAGUGUGAGCGCAUGUGUAUGCCUACACCAUCCGCGAGGGAAGCAUGGAAGAGAAGUCGGAAGAGAGGAGAAGGAGACGGAGUGGCUACUCGACCCAAGCUGGAUGUCCAGACCUCCUCCCGGACAUCCGAUCAUCAGUCAGAUCAUCCGCAUGCCCUCCCGGAUCAUCCGGCUAUGGCAACCGAAGACACCCGAAAGCCAUCCCUGGAGCCGGAUCAUCCAGCCCCCCUUCCGGAUCAUGCGGGCAUCUUCCGGAUCGUCCGGGCCUCCUUCCGAAUCACCCCGUUGCCUGCACGCAUAAUAGGCCUAGUGGCCAUGACUUUCCCACUUUGCCCCCUCACUUACCCCUUCGUGGACUAGCCUAUAAAUACCUCUCUCCCACCUCCUUUCUAGGGAUAGCUGAGAUUAGAACCACACAUUAGAGCUUAGCUCAUGUAUCUCCCCUUGUGGGAUUCCUCCUAUGGGAGAUGAACCAUCUAUGAUUGUCAAGGCCUCCUAAGGAAGAAGGAUUCACAAGUGAAUCAUCAAGACCUCCUAAAGGGGAAGGAUUCCCCAAGUGAAUCAUCAAGACCUCAUCUCCUCUUGGAUUUGGGAUGAACUCUACCUUGUAUCUUGUUUCCUUUGAUUGUUCAUGUACCUUAUGGAUCUUGUGUGUUUGUUAGUCAAUGGAUGUGUGAUUGGACUUGUUCUUGAGUGUUCCUCUUGUGAUUUCUCCUCACUUCCCCUCGUGCUCUCCGUGUUCUUCCUCGUAGCCACCUUCAAUUCGUGAACAUCAAGACAAAUAGGGGCACUUUGGCCCAUGCCCUACAUUACUAUGGUCUAAAUCCUAUUCAUUCAAUUCGUUUAAAAAUUUGGUUACGGAAAAAAUGAUUUUUUUUCUUCUAUCUUAUUGAUCAACCAAACAAAGUAGGUCGAAUUGAAGAAGUGAACACGAAUCAAGCAUAUAUGUUGUUACCGAAGUUAAUUCAAGUUUUUAUGCAAUCUUUUGCUUCACUUAUAUAACUUCACGUUCUACCACCAUUCCCGUGAUGAAGGGACAAGAGAGUAAGCACACACGGGCUAGAGUACAACUUGAAGGUUUUCAAAAUGUCGUACAAGCUACAUGUCCUAGUCGGUGAAAGUAAUAUGGCGGGAGACGAAUGGUGAUCCCCUUACGUGGGCUAUCCUGCCAUUUGAGUCACUGGCAUGUGGGUCCCACCAAGCAUGGGGCCCAUCUGUUAGUGACCGAAAGGCAAGGUAAGACAAGGAUAGCUACGUCAGAGGAUCCAUGUCCAGCGGGAGGCAUAUCCCUUGCCAAACAAGUUAUUCCACCGAAGAUUCGUUGUCGUACUGCCAUAAAAGAGUGGUAUAUAACACUCGAUCAAGACACACUUAAUACUACCGCCAAAAAAGGUGAAAACCAUGUGUUAAAAAAAGGUGAAAUAGUGAGUCAUCGAUCCGCAAGGCCAAAACACUUAUGUUUUAUGGUACCACUGUUGGUCAAAGUAGUCGCGUGUGUUGAGCUUUUGUGCCAUGAAUGGCAUGAUCAUGGGUAGUAAUAGAGAUGUUGAACUUUUAUGCCAUCAACGUCAGCUUUGUUGUCAAGACAUUAUCACCAUAGACACAACAAACUGACAUGGUAUAUAUUAAAGCCACACUCCGACGGUAAAAUACAUGGUCCCCCACCUUUUGGCGAUGAAGAAACAACUAAAGACAAAAACAAAAGGAAACAUAUUUGAAGCAAGAAUGAAAAAACUCCCCUCCACUGGCUAGGAUUAGGACAUGUACCACAAUAUCUACUUCAUUGUUUGUUAAAGUUGUCACAUAUGGAUUUAAGUGAUGUGGAGUAAAGAGAGCAAAGAGAGAAUAUGUUGUAUGUUUACAUACAACUUAGAUGGUGAUUGUGUUAUUGUACAUGUCCCGAUGUUUUUGCUAUCGCACAUGCCCUUACGAUAUCGGACCUCCUACUUGGUUAACCCCCUUGGAGCAUCUCCAACAAUUUCCCAAUAAAUCAUCCCAAACAAUAUGUUAUUAGGCAUGCCAAUAACAAUGCAGAUCCCAAUAAACACAUAAUGUUUUUUUAUUUGUCUGUACAUUUACAUAUGAAGGCAUACACAUGUCCAUUUUACCAUCAUAAUAAUUCAAAUAAUUACAUUUCAAACACACAAUUAUUCAAUGCCAUUUCAAAUCCACAUCUUAUGAAACUUAAAUGCAAACCCAAACGUAAACAUGUAGAAGUUUAUUGUCCCUCGAGCUCCCACAAAUGUUCAACAAGGCCAUCGCGAAGCUGUUCAAGUGGUCUUAGAAGCAAUCUAUGGACUUGUUGUUUUUCUCUGAGGAUUGACAAAUGGUAUAUAAAAUUUUCCAUUAUUCUUAUAGUGGAAGUCUUCCUACUGGUCUCGCUCAUCCUCAAUUAUCAUGUUUUGCAUGACCACACACGUUGACAUGAUGGACACACGUGACUUUGGUCCAAGUAUCAUGUAAGACCUCGAAUAAUGGCAAAUUGAGCUUGCAUUACUCCCAAAUGCUCGCGCGACACCCUUUCUACAUGCUUCUUGACGACUUGCAAAGUGAGCUCUUUUGUCGUUUAGGGUUUGAUGUUCGACUUUACAGACGUAGACCAAGGAGGAUAUAUGCCAAUAACAAUAUAGUAACCCAUGUUGCAUUGAUGGGCAUUGAUUUGAAAGUCACCGGUGGUGCCUUCCGUGACAGUUAGGCUUGCAAACAAAGAGCUUUGCAAGACAUCUAGGUCAUUGUGAGAUCAUGGCAAACCAAAAUGUGAUUACCAAAUCAAUAGAUCAUCUGAUACAACAACUUCAAGAAUUAUGGUUGGUUGCAUAACGAUAAUGGCCUUUGAAAUGCCCAUGCCAUGCUCUAGGGCAUUUCUCCCACCUCCCGUGUAUACAAUCGAUGCUUCCAAGCAUACAUGGAGAGGCUUUUGAUGCACCCACCUGCAAAAGCCUUAUUGUCUACUUCAACCUUCAUAAAUUUCUUCACUCUUUACGGUUGUGCUCUAUGCAAUUCCAAUCCAGUCAUCAUCAGAAUCAGUUGGACAAUUAUAUACAAGCAUACACACCGACCCCGCAAACUGCUUUGAAGCACUAUGGCAAGUUAACAAGUUGCGUUCCCUCGACAUUCAAAACCUUCUCCAAAAGUCAGACAGACCAAUGGAGCUCAUCCAAUUACAAUGGCGUUCAACAACUCCACCCCAGGAGACGUACACUGAGGCCUCNNNNNNNNNNNNNNNNNNNNNNNNNNNNNNNNNNNNNNNNNNNNNNNNNNNNNNNNNNNNNNNNNNNNNNNNNNNNNNNNNNNNNNNNNNNNNNNNNNNNNNNNNNNNNNNNNNNNNNNNNNNNNNNNNNNNNNNNNNNNNNNNNNNNNNNNNNNNNNNNNNNNNNNNNNNNNNNNNNNNNNNNNNNNNNNNNNNNNNNNNNNNNNNNNNNNNNNNNNNNNNNNNNNNNNNNNNNNNNNNNNNNNNNNNNNNNNNNNNNNNNNNNNNNNNNNNNNNNNNNNNNUGCAAUCUACGCCCCGGAUUUUCAGGCGACCCAUUUGGUAACAUCGUGGAAAGGGCUUUCUCGGCCCGAUCCUCCCGAAAUCCCCGGGCCGCUCACCCCGACCUCCGCACUCCAAGGGAAUUCUCCCGGGCUGCCCCCGUCUCUUUCUUGCAAUCUCAAUCGCCUUGCCCUCCGUUCUUCUGCUCCUCUGCCUUCGUUCUCUUCCCUCUCCCUUGGUGCCCAAAUGGCAACGCGUAUUUCACAUGGCAGGAGGAGGAUCUCAUAUGAGCGGGGAAAUCCCCCUCGGGUGGUUUACUGCCAUGGUUUUUUCACCCCAACAACCAAAUGAGCCAUGAAGGGGUGGGGGGUGCUCAUCCAAUAACAAUGGCGUUCGACAACUCUCCAGUAACAAUGGCGUUCGACAACUCCAUCCCAGGAGACGUACACUAGAGGGGAGGGGAAAGGGGGUGGGUCUUCACGGUGAACCAGAGACGGAUGUGACUGAGCAGGAGCUGGAAUUUCCCGACACAUGGUAGAUGCAACUUGCAACUUGGAAAUUAUUGGGUGAGAUGCAACUUUCCCUCUACACGGGGAUGGGAUAGGAGUUUUUUGUUCAGCUCCCGCACCAUGGGCAGUUUUCUGAGGAAAGGUAUCUGUUGAAGAUGCUUAGCAUGAAAAACAGGGACUGGAGAACUGUAGAAUCAUUUGCUUUGGGUUUGAUUAGCAAGCUUCAGUUUAUACCUUAUCCUUGCUCGCGAAAUCAAUAUGCCAGUCGCGCUGGAGUUGUUCAACAAACCGGUCGCUAUACCAACAGUUCAGGGUUUGGGUUUCUACACGAUGAUUAAGAUUACGACCAAAAGAGGGCCAUCUCCUCGGGUGUGGAUUCCAACUAGUAAACACAUCGUGUAUUUUUAGGCACCGGCAAGGCUAACCUCUGGAGAAAAUCCGCCAACAUAGCAUCAACCCAGAUACAUAACUAACCCAAAUGAUGGACCAAAAUUUCCAAACUACUCUUCUCCAACUACAAUAAAACCAGAAAAUGCAGCAGAGUCGAACCACAAAUAACCCAAACCAAUUCAUUCAUAGAGAUAGGGCGGAUGAGCAAACCGGAAUCUAAGUUCCAGCCACCACUCAGUUCCAAUUCCAAAGGGUAUUAUAAUAGAGAUAGAUAGAUAGAUAACAAAGUACUAGCAGCACCUCGAGCAUUCGGUGUAAAAAACACACAAAUCUGGAUCAAACUUGUUUCACCCAACAGAUAUCUUGAUGCCUAUGUAUGUGUAUCUCAAACACCCAGAAGCACUAGAUACCAAGUAUCGCAGGUAGGCAACCACGCACAGCUGCUUAC
rnacentral:lncRNA from 1 species